UCUCUUCAUUUACAUAUAUUUUUUGCCCGGUUUUGGUCAUAGCAUCGUGAGAAGUUGUAUAUUGGAGCCAUUUGAUGUAACCAUUCUUUUUUCUUUCUACAGAAGAUGAAACGAAAAUGUUGGAGCUAUACAACGUUGUAUUGGACAGUAAACAGAAUAGCCUCCAAGAAUCAUUUCCUCCCAUCUUAUAUUUUGUCGCUAUGGGUUGGGGGUGGAUAUGUAAAAGCUGUUAUUCGGCGAUUGUUGAACGGUUGUACCAAAGGCAUUUUUCUUUUCUUUCUGAACUCCAUGUGUUUACUUUUAUUUUUCAUGUUAACAGAAGCAUAGAAGGAUCCUUGAGUAGUAUCACCUAUGUUCUGAAUUAUAAGACGUUUUGGAUAUUUCAAUACAGAUUGAAAUGAGUGAACAAGCACACUAAAUGCAACUAUAUAAAUACGAUUUAGAAGAAAAAUUAGAACACCUUAUAAUUUUUAACAGAGGGUACAAAUUAUAAGUGAAUUGAACUGUAGCCUCACAUGGUGUUUGGAAUUAUAAGAUGUUUUGGAUAUUUUAAUAUGGAUUGAAACUAUCGAACAAGCACACUAAACGCAACUAUAUGCAUACAGCUUAGAAGAAAAAAUAGAACAUCUUAUAAUUUUUUAACAGAGGGAGUACAAAUUAUAAGUGAAUUGAACUGUGGCCUCAAAUGGUAUUAUUCACUUCUGUGCCAUCUAACAUCGAAAAGGCAGCAACAUAUUUUAUUAAGAGAAUUUGACUUCCAAAAGUCAGUUCAAACAAAAUUUGACCAACCUAAGAAUUUCAGUGUUCUACAGGAAAAACACACAUAAAUAACCUGCUCUGACAAAUUGAUUACUGAGUUGCAUAUUAGGUAUUCACUGGCGUCUAAUGCAGCGCCUCAUGGCAAACAGAAGAAGCGACGCAGGCAUGCUGGACUACUACUUGUUGUGGGUAGGCACACUAAGAUAGAACUUUGUGUUCCUGAAAUCAUCAAGAAGUGGAUUGUAUCCAUCUUUGGUCCUCGUCUUCAGUGGCAGCCCAAACUCCUCCAUGAAGGCAGCCGAAUCAAGCUGGAUGAAAAACGUCAAAUAGCAACUUACUCUUCAGUACUGAAGUUGAACAAAGAUAUUAACUAAAUUCGGAUUCGGCACAAAGUGAGCUGUGCCGCAAAGGGAGGAAAUUGGUAUGUGCAAGCUGAACUUACUAUGAUUGUUCUCCUGCUCUUCACUGGUUUAAAUGCACCACGGUUCAUCUGGUCCUUCAAGAAACCAGAGCAGUGGUGGUCGAUCUGCUCCAACAGCAAGAAAUCGGUUGGGAAGAAGAUAUCUGCAUCGCCCUGAAAGAGUGGGAGGUGCCAUAACCAAGUUUACUGAUAUACGGCGCAGAAGUUGUAUUAAAAAGACGCACCAAACUACACCAGGGCUUGUUUUCUACUCCCUCCGUCCCAUAAUAUAAGAUUGUUUUUCACACUAGUGUAGUGCCAAAAAACGAUCUUACAUUAUGGGAUGGAGGGAGUAUUUCUUAUUCUUGGUUCUCUUUUCAAGACGAUUUACACGACUACUCCAGUAAGAGGAAUAGAUUGUCUGCCUACGACAUAACAGCUCAUAAUUGAACGUGUGAAUAACAAACCUGUGCAUCAAGAUAGUUGGGAUGAUCCAAGGUUUUCCCAUCCUUCUACAAGAAGGAAGAUGAAUGAGACAUUUGGAAGUGGGCACUUGAUCUUACAUCUAAAUAUGCUGGUAAUUGCAUGAUCAACACAUGACUCGAAAACAUGGUUUUCUACCAUUCUCAGUUGAUAUCAUUGACACUGGUUACAGCCUUAUUGGAGCAAUGCACCAAACAGCCAUAAAACUGAAAUAAUAAACCAAUCAGGGCAUGUCACCUUUGAAGAAACCAAUGGAGCUCUAUCGCCAGGUAUGCUAACAUCAGGAAGAUAACUGAAGUCUGAAGCAAUAAGGGACAUACUUGGCAAAGCUUGAUGCAAGGUAUCCAGUAGUUUCUGCAUAAGGUAAAAAACUCUGGAUGUAAGCUGGCACAUACACUGGCAUCCAACAUUAACGGGACAACAGUAGUUUAUAAUCUUACUAAGUAGCAGAGGGGUCUGAAGUACAUACCAAACAUCCGGUUGGUAACCAAGCUCUCCGAGGCUUCGGGAAUACUUUUGAGACGAGUCCUUUUGCAGCGAAUGAUAGUUUUUCUCUCAACGAUGGAUUCUCUUCAUUCAUGCCAACAAUCUCACUGCAGCGGGAAACUAAUGGGUCUUGCAAUGGUUUGUAGACCUCACAGACUUGUGAACUUUCUUAAGAAAAAGGCAAGAAAAAUUGAUUAGUAUAAGAGAUAAAGAGAUAAAGUAGCUACUAGCUAGAUAAUUUCAAUAAUAGUGAAAAGAGGUCUGUUCUCAAUUACUCAAUACAGAGUAAACAUGCAUGUAAUAUUAAUUAGAACAAUAGCUAUAGCCAGAAGCACAAGGAAGAUGCUGAAUUAUUGAUGUUCUUGAAGAAAAAAGGAGGCAGCCCUCCACAAUAACAUCAACCAAAAUAAGGAACUAUACAACCUGAAUCAAGUAAAAAAAAGCACCAUGGGCCCAUGGCACGAGAAAAUGUAAAAGAAUACUAUAAUAUUAUUUCGCAAAGAAAUUUCCCUCUCCGCCUAUGUUGUCUCAGCGUAGCCGGUCCCAAGCCCGGGUAAAGGAGGAGGAUUGAGAUAUGCUUGGCGAGCCAACAUCAAAACUCGGCCACUCUUUUGGAAAUGAAACCCAGAAGAACAUUGUUGGGGCGUAACCCUCUUAGCGACGCGCCAUACCGGAACCCGGUUGUGGUGCUAAACAGGCAAGGGCCGGGCCGUCACCCCCUUGGUGGCAUGCCGUAUCUUGAUCUGGAUACGGUGAUAAGUGAGCAAGGAUCUGGUCGUCGCAUUGUUAGUGACGCGCUACGUCGGCGCCCGGGUGUAGUAAAAAAUGAGCAAAGGGCAAGGAAGCUAGCCGAGCCUAGGAGGAUCCGCAUGUAGUUGGAACGUAGGGUCCCUGACGGGUAAGUUAUGGGAGUUGUAAUGCAGCGGUGAGGAGAGGUGUUGAUAUCCUUUGCGUCCAAGAAACCAAAUGGAAGGGACAGAAGGUGAGGUGGAGGAUACCGGCUUCAAGCUAUGGUACACGGGGACAACUACCAAUAAUAAUGGAGUAGGCAUCUUGAUCAACAAGAGCCUUAGGUGUGGAGUGGCAGAUGUCAAGAGGCAAGGGGACCGGAUUAUCCUGGUCAAGCUGGUUGUUGGGGACUUGGUCCUCAAUGUUGUCAGCGCGUAUGCCCCGCAAGUAGGCCACAAUGAGAGCACCAAGAGGGAGUUCUGAGAAGGCCUGGAGGACAUGGUUGGGAGUGUACGCAUUGGCGAGAAGCUCUUCAAUGGAGGAGACCUCAAUGGCGACGUGGGUACAUCCAACACAGAUUUUGAAGAGGUGGAUGGGGCUUUGGCUAUGGCAUCAGGAAUCACGGAGAGGAUGUCUCCAGCUUUGCCCUAGCCUACGACAUGAUCAUAGCUAUCACCCUCUUUAUAAAGAGAGAAUCCCAUCUAGUGACUUUUAGUAGUGGCCAACACUCUAGCCAGAUUGAUUUCGUCCUCUCGAGAAGAGAAGACAGACGUGCUUGCCUAAGAUGAUACCUGAAGAGAGUGUUGUCCCUCAACAUAAGCUUGUGGUAGCCGACUUCCGCUUUUGAAUUCAUGCCAGCUGGAUAACCAAGCCAAAGUUGCUAGAACAACGUGGUGGAAGCUCAAGGGGAAGGCAGCUCAGGCUUCCAAGGAGAGGAUUAUUAAGGAAGACUUUUGGGAGGAAGGAGGUGACGCAAACAAUAUGUGGAUAAAGAUGACGACUUGUGUCCCGAAGGUGGCUUCAUAGGAGUUUGGAGUGACUAGGGGAAGUAGAAGCGAAGCAAAAGAUACCCGAUGAUGGAACAAUGAUGUCCAGAAGGCUGUUAAGGAGAAGAAAGAAUGUUUCAGACACCUACACUUGGAUAGGUGUGCAAAAAAUAUAGAGAAGUACAGGGUGGCAAGGAAGAAGGCAAAGUGAGCCGUGAGUGAAGCAAGGGGUCGGGCGUAUGAGGACCUCUACCGGUGUUUAAGCACGAAGGAAGGCGAAAAGGACAUCUAUAAGAUGGCCAAGAUCCAAGAGAGGAAGACGAAGGAUGUCGACCAAGUCAAGUGCAUCAAGGACAAAGCAAAUCGGCUCCUGGUAAAGGACGAGGAGAUCAAGCGUAGAUGGCAAGAGUAUUUCGACAAGUUGUUCAAUGGGGAGAAUGAGAACCCUACCAUUGAGCUGGACGACUCCUUUGAUGAUGCCAACAGAUGUUUUGUGUGGCAAAUCCAGGAGCCCGAGGUCAUGUAGGCUUUAAAAAGGAUGAAAGGAGGCAAGGCGAGGGGCCCUACCUGUAUCCCUAUUGAGGUGCGGAGAGCCUUGGAGACAUAGCGAUAGUAUGGCUAACUAAGCUUUUCAACCUCAUUUUUCAAUCAAACAAGAUGCCCGAAGAAUGGAGGCGGAGUAUAUUAGUAACAAUCUUCAAGAACAAGGGGGGUGUUCAAAGUUGUACUGGCUACCAUGGAAUUAAGCUGAUGAGCCAUACAAUGAAGCUAUGGGAGAGAGUCAUUGAGCACCGUUUAAGAAGGAUGACAAGCAUGACCAAAAAUCAGUUUUGCUUGGGAGGUCGAGCAUUGAAGCCAUUUCUAGGUACGACAACUUAUGGAGAGAUACAGAGAGGAAAAGACCUGCAUAUGGUGUUCAUUGACUUGGAGAAGGCCUAUGAUAAGAUACCGCAGAAUGUCAUGUGGUGGGCCCUGGAGAAACACAAAGUCCCAACAAAGUACAUUACCCUCAUCAAGGACAUGUACGACAAUGUUGUAACAAGUGUUCGAACAAGUGAUGGCGACAAUGAUGACUUUCCAAUUAAAAUAGGACUUCACCAAGGGUCAGCUUUGAGCCCUUAUCUUUUUGCUUUGGUGAUGGAUGAGGUCACAAGAGAUACACAAGAUAUCCCAUGGUGUACUCUUUGUCGAUGAUGUGGUGCUAGUCGAUGAUAUAGCCAGGCGAAGGUUAAUAGAAAGCUGGAGCUGCGAAGACAAACUUUAGAACCGAAAGGUUUUAGGCUUAGUAGAACUAAGACUGAGUACAUGAGGUGUGGUUUCAGUACUACCAGACGUGAGGGUGAGAAGGAAGCCUUGAUGGGCAGGUGGUACCUCAAAAGGACACCUUUCAGUAUUUGGGGUCGAUGCUGCAGAAGGAUGUGAUAUUAAUGAAGAUGUGACUCAUCGAAUCAAAGCAGCUGGAUGAAGUGGCGCAAGCUUCUGGCAUUCUCUGUGAUAAGAGUCCCAGAAAGCUAAAAGGCAGGUUCUAUAGGACGGCGAUUCGACCUGCGAUGUUGUAUGUCGCUGAAUGUUGGCCAACUAAAAGGUGACAUGCCCAACAGCUAGGUGUAGCAGAGAUGCGCAUGUUGAGAUGGAUGUGUAGCCACACAAGAAAGGAGCGGCUCCGGAAUGAUGAUAUACGUGAGAGAGUUGCGGUGCCACCGAUUGAAGAGAAGCUUGUCCAACAUCGUCUGAGAUGGUUUGGGCAUGUUCAGCAUAGGCCUCCAAAAGUGGCAGUGCAUAGCAGGCGGUUAAGGCGCGCUGAUAAUGCCAAGAGAGGUCGAGGUAGACCAAACUUGACAUGGGGGAGUCCGUAAAGAGAGACCUGAAGGACUGGAAUAUCACCAAAGAUUUAGCCAUGGACAGGGGUGCGUGGAAGUUAGCUAUGCACAUGCCAAAACCAUGACUUGGUUUCGAUAUCUUAUGAGUUUCAACUCUAGCCUACUCCAACUCGUUUGGGACAGAAAGGCAUAAUUGUUGUUGUUGUUGUUGUUAUUGAGAAUGAAACACAUAUUAGCAUAAAACUAUAUUUCCACCAGCAUGAAUAACAAAUAGUAUUGGAGCCAAGCAAUAAGUAGCAAAUCCAAUCCUUCAAGCUAAUGUGGAACAUUAAGGAAUCCUUUAAAAUAUGAAAACCAGUAGGGACCAUAAGUUGAUUCUUUUAUCAUGUUUUCUCAAGUCAAGGAUCCCACUGAACUAUCAUCCCACAUAAACAGUGAAUCUAAGAGCAAAAAAAAAGGAUACUUGAGAUCGUGUUUGCCAGGUCUAGGAAUCCACAUUAUUGACGCACUCUUUGUCGGAGUAAUGGGCCACGGGUAGCGUAACCCGAGUCCCUGAGCCUUUCAAGACUUUGGGCCGGCUUCGCCCCACGAGACUCCAGAAUGAAGCGCCACCUUCCGGUGUCCGACUGGCUCAACGGCCGGCUGCCCGAAGACUGCCGAGCACCAGCAGACGGCACCAAGACGGGUCGACUCCUAGCAGACGGCCUCCGUAGAGGCCGGCUUCUAGCAGGCGGCCACCCGGCGCCCUCAGAGUCUGCGCCCCUCAUCAAGAGGACAAGACAGGGUGAGGCUACAGUGUAGUCCCUCACCCCGAAUCCCGGGUUUGGCAUGGCCACAGUGUCCUGUACAGGCGGAGAUCUCCGCAUGACGCGGCACUGUUGCCACUCCACCUUCGACGCCACCCCUGUCAGGCGGGGCCUGCUCCCAUGACAGCUUGUCGGUACGGCUCGCAGGCGGCGGCCCUACCAGGCAGCGAGGGCCCGGAGGGCGGCCGAGCCUGGCCAGUCGGAUGCAAGGGGAUCCGGCUCCUGGCGGGCAGCCGGAUCCUUCCUCGAGACCUGAGCGCCAUUAACCAGACUAGACACGGCAAGGCUACAGUGAUCACCCACCAGGCGGCGGGACUGUAGCCAUGCCUUGCCCAACCAAGCCUGCGUCAUUAGCAUCACGGCUACAGUGAUCAGCCACCAACCAGACCCGCCAGCGGCGGAAGCGGCCUGUCGGCUCCGUACCAGACCAGUUUGAGGGGCCCACCAGGCGGCGGGCCCCAGCUGCCGACGGAGAAGCCGGCGGCCAGAGACGCUGACGGCCGGGUCCUACACCCGGCCAAGUUACCAUUGUACCCCUGGGGGGUAGGCCUAUAUAAACCCCCCAGGGCACCCAUGCAAAGGGUUCCAAACCUGUUAGAACUAGACUCACACCUAGAGGAAGAAGAGAGCUAGCCCUGCCUCCUUCCACCUCUAGCAUACAGCUCGAGGAGCACCAUUGUACUCACUAGUGCCUUAGUGAUCAUGCGGAGACCCCGCAAAGCAGGACUAGGGGUGUUAUCUCCUAGGAGAGCCCCGAACCUGGGUAAAGUGCGUGGGCGUUCGUGUCUACGCCUCAUCCCGCUUCCAGGCACCGGUGACGUUCUACUCGCUCCCACCAUGAUAAGCCAUCCUUUGGCAUAUGUUGCACCCAACCCCCGACACUCUUCAAAUAUAACACAGAGCAAAGGUUCUAGCUAAUUUGCUAAGGAGUUCGGAAUUUGAAAAACAAAAUUACAAACCUGCCAUUUACUUUUUCAAUCCACACCUCCAUCCAUGCAGAGACCUGAUCUGGUGAAUAGACAAGGUCAUGAGGUAGAUUGUCAAGUACCUGACAUUCCACCAAAAGAAAGUUAUUGCUGCAUGAACAUCUCCCUUAAGAUACGAUUGCAAAACUAAAAUUUAUAUAUUAUGAGUAAAUUAGUUCCUUCAGAACCAAGACAUAUUAGCAAUGCAAAUAAUAUAGCAGACGGAAUUAUUAUCAGCCAGCAGUACCAGCAUGGCAAUAAUACGAUGGCAUGCCUGACAUGGCUGGUGACCCUAUUUUGGACUGUUAAACAUGAAAAUAGUAACAUAACCGGAACAGGGAAAGCAUCAGCGCUCUUUUGCAAUAUCAAGUCCAAACAGAGAUACUAGUGAUGGCACAAGAACUGGGAAGUAGUCUUACAAACAUCUUACAUUGUCAAAGUCAAGAAGUUUGACACAAAAAAAUAUGCUUCUAGCCAAUGUGAACCAAUUGCUGGUACACUUCAUGACAACGGUGAUGGCGUUUUGUUUCUUUGACAGGGCAAAUCCUAGCAGUACAUACCUCAAGCAUUAGCACCCAGCAUGGUUGAGGAUCCUUGCUGCCUGCAAACGGAAAUAGGAAAAACCAAUCAUUUCAAAGGUAAUAGUAAAUAGUAAAUACUGAGACCCUGAGACUGAAUGCUGGAUAAAUAUGUGAUUUUGGAAUGGGGAUAUAAGUAGAGAGGGAUCCAGUGUCAUCCCCAACUAUUUUAUUACAUCUGUCAGCACAGCAUAGAAGUUAGUCUAGGGACUUAUAUAUAGUAUAAUAUGAGCUAUUGCAGGUUGAAAACAAUGCAAAAUGGUGAUCAAAGCUCAGGUAACUGAUCUUAGACAAGGGUUAUUGUAGGAAAGAUCCGACAUCGAUAGCUAGGCACAAGAAGCCAAGCUUACCCCAUCCAGCUAUGUCAGUUGCAUCACGAUGCUCCACUGUGAACUUUGACAAAUGGCUCUGAACUUCACCGACAGUUUCCAACUGCUUUUCAGCAAGGGAGGAGCUAAUCUCUACUGAGCUAGCAAAUGAAGAUGAAAGGAAGGUCAAAGCAUAACUGAUAACAUAAAAGAAAAAUGAUGGAAAGGGUGAGAAUAUAAGGCAGCAUGAAAGUAACCAUAUUAUGAAUGUUGAUAUGACGAUACAUGUAAGUACCACUUUGUUUGGCCUUACCAAACAAAUAGGACUCUGUAGUCUAGCUGAGCAACUUCAAUUAAGUAGGACAAGGAAAAUGACAAAAGAGCUGCUUACAUGUACUUCAUAUUAUUGUAGACUUUUGGCGGAGCAUUUAACAUCAUGUAAUCAAGUACGCACUUUGCACAUGUCCCGGAUCCACCUCCGAUUUCAAAUAUCUGAUCAUUACAGGAAUCCAAUUCAGAUGGCUUGGUAAGAAAAGAAGGAAACAUGAUAAUGUGUCAUGAUAUGACAAAAUUCACAAGUGAAUCUAGAAGCAUCGCCCGUCGAGAUGUGAAGCUAUAAGACAGGAAAAUUAUGAGUGCACCUUCAAUGGGACUGAAAGAUUAGCCGUGCGAAGGAUUGACGCAGCUAUUGCAUAGGCAUACCAUGGCUGCACCAGAGUAGGAAACAUGCAUCAGUGGCUAAAUUGGAAAGAAAAUCGAGAUCACACUCUCUUUCAAGUUUUAACAGCUCAAGCACAAAAGAGCACCUUAAAAAGCUCCACUGGAGUGAACCAAGAGAUAUCAUGCAUCUUAUACAGCUUAUCAAGAUGCUUCAUGUACGCAGUCCUCCCUGCGUGAUAUAACACCAAAUUAUUUGCAGCUAUACGCACAUGUCCGAGUUGUCAGCACAGCAUUGCACAUAACCAGCACUGACCAAUACAUGGAUAGUAGUGUUUAGACUAUUCUACUCCGAGCACACACGCAUACAACAUGUUUGUGGAAAUGCCGCCCCAACAGACAACUGAAGAAAUCCAAACUUCGUCGAUCAAGUGUACUCCAACAGACUGAAUUCGGCACAGGGGCAGCGGGGAGGGACAGAGCAAUCAGUACCGUCGAGCUUGUGGAAGCGGAUGGCGGAGUCGAGCACGCCGACGGGCCCCGACCGCUUGGAGAAGUAGCCGUGGUUGGGGUCGUAGAGCGCCGACCUCACGAAAUCGCGCACCUGCGAGGGGAAGCUCCCCUGUCAAAACAGCAGGCACUACAGGGAGAUCUCGGAGUGAUGAGAGAGGCCUCGACGUUUACCAGAACGGGCUUGUCGCCGGCGACGAUCCCCGAAGAGAACAGAGCCAACGGGGCCCACCGCGCCGCGCGCCGGAGCGCGGGGAUGGUCGCCAGGUACGCCGGCGCCAUGCCGGAGGGAGCGUGUCGUUGCGGCGGCGGCGCUUCUGGACCUUUCCUCCGAAACAGAACUGAAAUGAAACAACACUUGCUGGGCCGUUUCGGGUGCUUUUGGCAGAACGUUUCGAGCCCAACUCUGAGCCCGUCUCCUCCCCACUGUACAAGAAGAAGCCCACGGCCGCCGUCGGGUCGCCGGCUCACACAGGCAGAAACGAAAAGUUGGGAGGAGAGAGAGAUAGAGCAAUGCCGCGUGCGCUUGGUGGGAAGGGGAGGGGGAGGGGCGGGGCUCCGGCGAGGCCCAUCGCGGCGAUCCCCGUCGCCGUCGGCGUCAACCGGCGGAUGGCGCUCGAGAUGCGCAAGGCGGGGCUGAUGAACAAGGCGAAGGAGCUCGCGGAGAUGGCCGACGCGCCCGUCGCGGUGCUCUGCUCGGGCCUCGACGGCCAGGGCGCCCUGCAGUGCUGGCCGUCGACGGAGACCGCGAGGGCGGUGGUGGGUCAGUUCCUCGAGCUCCCGAAGGAGGCCCGGAUCACGUUCGAUCAGGCCAGCUACAUCGCGGGCGUGCGCGACGCGCAGGGGUCCAGGCUGGCCGGGGUGCGGGCGGGCGGCCUCGCCGCCGCGCUCGGGCCGUGGGAGAGCCCGCUCGACGGGAUGUCGGAGGACGCGCUCCGGGAGCUGCUCGCUUCCGUCGGCAAGUCCCUUGAUGCCACGCGGAGCAGGAUCCGGAGGCUGCAGACCCAGCGUCGCGAGAGCGUGGCGGAGAACUUCGUGGUGGCGGGGGAGGGUCACGCGAGCGGCGAGGUGCAGGGGACGCGGAGGCAGCCACGGGGCGCCGCCACGGCCCCCGGUGCUGCGCGGAAGAAGCAGCUGGUGGAGGAUCCCAAGGUGAAGCCCGCCGCCGCCGACGGCGCUGCGCGGAGGAAGCAGCUGCUGAAGGAUCCCAAGGAGAAGCCCGCCGCCGCCGAUGGCGCUGCGCGGUGGAAGCAGCUGCUGAAGAAUCACAAGGAGAAGCCCGCCGCCGCCGCCAACGUCCACGCUGCGCGGAGGAAGCAGCUGCUGGAGGGUCCCAAGGAGAAGCCCGUGCGCGCCGCCCCGUUCGACCCCGGGAUGAUCGAGUACUACAUCAACGUGGGCGGGUGCGUGAUGGAGCGCGACGCCUACGACUUCAUCCGGUACGACCUCGGGAUGCUCCCGCCCAGCCUCGAGCCCGAGCCGCCGGAGCCGGACUACGACGAUCCGCCGCGGCUGUGGUCGUGGGACGACUCCUCCUUCCCCCAGAGCGCGCCGCCGCCCAAGUGAGCCGCCUACGUGCUGGCUGCACAGAACACCGUGUGACGAGUUCGCCCAAUUUUGGAGGAUGGCAUCGUGGGGCUCUUGUCACUGCCGCCGCUAUCUACUAGCUUAGCUGGGUUCCGUAGUACCUACCGACAAUGGCUUCACCGGCCGGUCUCGCCGCGUAGUCCCGAUCGAUUUCCCCGGACAGCCAUGGCGUGGAACUGGCAUUGCUAGCUGAAGUCAGAGAGUACUAGUACUAGUAACUGUAGAACCGGACACUAUAGAUCGAAGAAACACCGUAGAUCGAUGAAAUGUGGUUGGAUAAAAAGGCACCGAGGCCGAUUUUCGGCUUAGAACAUCAAAACCUUCCUCUGGUUACGCUUCGGAGGAAAUAUCCAGUCUGCAAAACAAUUGAGCAAGAGGUUGGAAAUAUUUCUUGGUUGACGUUUUUAUGUACUCCUAUAUACUUCCUCCGUCCCAAAAUUCUUGUCUUAGAUUUGUUUAGAUACGGAUGUAUCUAAUACUAAUAUGUGACUUGAUAUAUCUAUAUUUAGAUAAAUGUAAGACAAGAAUUUUAGGACGGAGGGAGUACCAAAACCAAAGCACAUACCAGUAUUUUGGCCAUGCUCAGAAUUUUGUCUCUUGUUUGGAUUUUGACAAUUUUUUCCAUGUUUUUUUUACAAAAUGGCCUAAGUCCAUAUAUCAAGUAUCACAUGUCCUUAUUACAAAUAAAAUGUAUUAAAAUUCUUGGGGUGCCGAAGUCUUCUUCUUCCUCCAUCCAUCGUCAGCAAGCCAUGAGUGUAGCUCGAUGCUGCCUCUGGGCAUCCGCCUCAGCAAAAGCAAACUUAUUUGAACUCAUAGUCUUGUAUAAGCACCGAUUCAAGUCAUCGAUUCAGAACAUGAGACGCCGACGGACACGAUCUGUGAAGAAAAUCGCCGCCGGCGGACACUGAAAAGAUGCAUGUAGAAACUCCAAAGACCAUGAAAACGAGUCGAAUCCAGAUGGAUCCACUGAAAACCAAAACUGACCGGAUCCCAGAAGACCCGUCAGAGACACAGGUCCACACACCCUUUGACGGUGAUAAGUGCACCAAGGAGACAAGUGAAAAGUUGGCAAUCUUCUCUCCUCCAAUUUUGUCUCUUAUUUCCUAUUUGGAUGCCUGCCAAUUUUCUUCAUGUUCAUAUUCUUUCGCUAACUCUAGUUUAUUUUUCUUAUCAUUUUGGUUAAAGAAAAUUAAAGGCAACGAAAGCCUUUUCCUCCCAAUUUACCCGGAUUUGAGUGCAAUUAUUUUAGUUAUGUUUACAUGUCUAUGUGACUUAGUGAAUUCUAGUUCAUCUUUCUUACUAUCACUGACCGAAAAGGGCGGCCAGAACCUUAACAAAAGCCUGGCCCUUCUGAUUUUCGUGAUUCGAACACAAUAGUUUUGAUUGUCACCGCUAUGAAAAUCAUCCAUUUAGUUUCCUAUUGUCAUGGUAAAAUUUUGGCCCUUGUUUAGAUAUUAUCCAAUAUUUUUGGAUGUCCUACUACCUUAGUCAACUCUGCAUUUUUUCUGACCAUUGAAACAGUACGAGAGGCUCCUGCUGCAUAUAUAUUACAUAAUCAAAUAAUAUAGUACAUAUUUACAUGUUUGGCCCAAUACCACUUUGGGUAUGGGUAGAAGAGGGAUUAUAGAAGGGACUAGGUCGGUACAAGAAUGUUUCAACUAGUCAAUGGCUGCAACAAAUGUAGAUUGUUUUAAUUGUUGUUUCGAUCUUUCUAGAGGCUCCAAGCAGCCACCAAGAAAAUAUUCAUGAACAUAGGUCUACUCCAUUCUUCCUUGGCGUUUUUAGUGAGUUGCAGUCUGUCAUCACACUCAGGCCAAUGCAUGCCAAGAACUUGCCAACAACCUCUGAUAAAUGUGCAGUGAAAGAAGAGAUGUUCCAACGUUUCUUCAGUUUGGGUUUCACAUAGCAGGCAGUCAAUGUUAUCUCCAAUGUUGUAGUGCCUCCUUUUGAGCAUAUUGCUUAUGUUAAGCCUGUCCGAGAGUAGGAGCCAACCGAACACUUUAAUUUUGGGCAAGCUUUCAAAUCUUCACAUCCAGAGCAUGGAUAUCUCUAAAGUAAAAAAGCAUAGUAUGUGCUAGUCUUAAAGUCCACAACACCCCAGACGUAUGUCCAAGUGCCUCGAGCUUCCCCAGAGAUGUCUGGAUCAAGGAGAUCAAAUUGCAAUUGUCUCACCUCCUCAUGAGCUUGUAUCUGUAGAGGGAGGUGCAAGGUGGCAUUGAGAUCGCUAGUGAGCAAAAAGUCUCUGACAAAGGCAUCCUCUUUGGUGGUAUAUGAGUAGGCCCGAGGGAAUGUUUUAGAAAGGACAUUCUCUUGCCAUGAAUCCUUCAAGGAUAGAGCUGAUGUGCCACAAUGAAUUUGAACAGUGGAGAUCCCUCUAAAGAUUGUGUUGAGUUGCAUGACAUCACCCUACCAAAAGGAUCCACAUGGCUCUGUACAUGGGGUAUGGAGCUGCAGUAAUAUGUGUUCCAAAUCAUAUUCACCCAAAGAAUGUCGUGGUGAUUAUAUAAUGUAUGCAGGAAGUUGAGCGGCAUUGCAUCGUUUUGAAUGUGUAAGUUGAUUACUCCAAGACCAUCAUACUUUUGGGGACGACAAACCAUAUCCUAACCGGCCAGGGAAUUGCAUUUCUUACCAUUUUUUUCCAGUUUCCUUAUUCCACAGGCAGUGACGUCCAAUCUUGUCCAGUUGAGCUAGGAUCUUUGGAUGUAGUCGUAUAGUGCCCAUGGUGAAUGUUGCCACGAAAGUGAUGAGGGAGUUUAAUAAUGAGAGUUGCCACAAACACUUUUAAAAAGGGCGCAAUCAACACUUGAUUUUUGUUACUUUCAUUGAAUCGUACACAAUUUUUGUAGGUAUUUUAGAAAGACAAAAUCCAAUUAAACAAAGUAGUUCAUAAGUCCUAAAAAGUGAAAUGACCAACCAAAUCAACAUUAAAAAAUGGUGGCGUAGGUCAAAUUGAGGGCAACAUAUACGGUAUGGUGCAUGAUGGUGGGUGCGCUAGCACAUGAUGCCUUCGGUACAUAAUCACAAUGCUAUAGCCUGAACAAACUCAGCUAUAGAAAUAUCAUAAAACGAAAGGUGAUUGGAACCUAUGGAGCUGGAGUGUAAUUUUGCAUAUAAUAGCAAUAAAAGUGCACUAAUAUACAUAUUGCUGAUAACGUGGAAGUCUGAUUUUUAAAGCAUUUUGUUUUUCUAGGAAGAAAAAACUCAGCCCUCCUAAUUGAAAGCCCACUCUUGAGGGCGACUUUCGCCCAAACCCUACCUGAAGGCUAUGGUCUAAAAUAAGGGGUGCAAUAGCAAGUUUGGAGCCGGAACCUCUCGGCUAAGCAAAAGCAUGCAACAACAUACCCUGAGGCUCCAUGAAGGCCACCCAGAGGGUGUCCAAAGGUUCAAGACCGGCUCAGAGGUUCUUGUCACACUCGUCUUAUAUAUGUCAGAUUCGAAGGCGGUGUGUGUGUGUGUGGGGGGGGGGGGUUGUCUUUUUUAUGAAAAAACCAGUUGCCUUGUAUAUAGAUGAACGGUGACACUCAAUUUGAAAAUGUAAUCAAUUGAAUCAAUCUAGUACUUUUCCAUCUCCUAUUUUCCCCUCCCUCAUUUUAUGCUUCUUGUUCUUCAUUAUUCUUAGUCUUUGAUGACAUUGAAGGAAAUAUGCCCUAGAGCCAAUAAUAAAGUUAUUAUUUAUUUCCUUAUUUCAUGAUAAAUGUUUAUUAUUCAUGCUAGAAUUGUAUUAACCGGAAACUUAAUACAUGUGGGAAUACAUAGACAAAACAUGGUGUCCCUAGUAUGCCUCUACUUGACUAGCUCGUUAAUCAAAGAUGGUUAUGUUUCCUAACCAUAGACAUGUGUUGUCAUUUGAUAAACAAGAUCACAUCAUUAGGAGAAUGAUGUGAUGGACAUGACCCAUCCUUUAGCUUAGCAUUAUGAUCGUUACAGUUUCAUUGCUACUGCUCUCUUCAUGACUUAUACAUGUUCCUCAUACUAUGAGAUUAUGCAACUCCCGAAUACCCGAGGAACACUUUGUGUGCUACCAAAUGUCACAACGCAAAUGGGUGAUUAUAAAGGUGCUCUACAGGUGUCUCCGAAGGUGUUUGUUGGGUUGGCAUAGAUCGAGAUUAGGAUUUGUCACUCUGUGUUUCGCAGAGGUAUCUCUGGGCCCUCUCGGUAAUACUCAUCACUAUAAGCCUUGCAGGCAUUGUGACUAAUGAGUUAGUUGCGGGAUGAAGUAUUACAAAACGAGUAAAGAUACUUGUCGGUAACGAGAUUGAACUAGGUAUUGAGAUACCGACGAUCGAAUCUCGGGCAAGUAACAUACCGAUGACAAAGGGAACAACGUAUGUUGUUAUGCGGUUUGACCGAUAAAGAUCUUCGUAGAAUAUGUAGGAACCAAUAUGAGCAUCCAGGUUCCGCUAUUGGUUAUUGACCGAAGACGUGUCUCGGUCAUGUCUACAUAGUUCUCAAACCCGUAGGGUCCGCACGCUUAACGUUCGAUGACGAUUAGUAUUAUGAGUUUAUGUGAUAUGUUGUACCGAAGAUUGUUUGGAGUCCCGGAUGUGAUCACGGACAUGACAAGGAGUCUCAAAAUGGUCGAGACAUAAAGAUUGAUAUAUUGGACGAUUAUAUUCGGACACCAGAAGUGUUCCGGUGAAGUUUCGGAUAUAACCGGAGUGCCGGAAGGGUUAUCGGAACCACCGGAGAAGUAAUGGGCCUUAUUGGGCCUAAGGGAGAGAGAGAGAGAGGGGCGGCCAGGGGCUGGCCACACGCCCCCCCAUGGGCCUAGUCCGAAUUGGACUAGGGGGAGGGGCGGUGCCCCCUCCUUCCUUCUUCUCCUAGUAGGACUAGGAAAAGGGGGAGUCCUACUCCUACUAGGAGGAGGAUUCCUCCCCCCCUUGGCGCGCCCUAGAGGGCUGGCCGGCCUCCCCCUUGCUCCUUUAUAUACGAGGGCAGAGGGGCACCCUAGAACAAACAAGUUGACAAUUGUUUUAGCUGUGUGCGGUGCCCCCCUCCACAGUUACACACCUCGGUCCUAUCGUCGUUGUGCUUAGGCGAAGCCCUGCGCCGGUAACUUCAUCAUCGCCGUCACCAUGCCGUCGUGCUGAUGAAACUCUCCCUCGGCCUCAAUUGGAUCAAGAGUACGAGGGACGUCAUCAAGCUGGACGUGUGCUGAAUGCGGAGGUGUCGACUACAUCAACCGCGUUACCUAAACGCUUCCGCUUUUGGUCUACGAGGGUACGUGGACACACUCUCCCCUCUCGUUGCUAUGAAUCUCCUAGAUAGAUCUUGCGUGAUCGUAGGAAUUUUUUUGAAAUUACCGCGUUCCCCAAUAGUGGCAUCUGAGCCAGAUCUAUGCGUAGAUGUUAUAUGCACGAGUAGAGCACAAAGAGUUGUGGGCGAUAAUAGUCGUACUGCUUACCAGCAUGUCAUAUUUUGAUUCGGCGGUAUUGUUGGAUGAAGCAGCUCAGACCGACAUUACGCGUACUCUUACGCAAUACUGGUUUUACCGAUGUGCUUUGCACAUAGGUGGCUGGUGAGUGUCUAUUUCUUGAACUUUAGUUGAAUUGAGUUUGACUACAUCCGGUCCUUGUUUAAGGUUAAAACAGCACACUUGACGAAAAAUCGUUGUGGUUUUGAUGCAUAGGUAAGAACAGUUCUUACUAUAAGCCUGUAGCAGCCACAUAAAACUUGCAACAACAAAGUAGAGGACGUCUAACUUGUUUUUGUAGGGCAUGUUGUGAUGUGAUAUGGUCAAGACAUGAUGUGUUGUAUGAGAUGAUCAUGUUUUGUUAGAGUUAUCGGCAACUGGCAGGAGCCUUAUGGUUGUCUCUUAAUUGCAUAAGAUGCAAGCGCCAUAUAAUUGCUUUACUUUAUCGCUAUGCGAUAGCAAUAGUUGCAAAAGCAAUAAUUGGCAAGAUGACCAUGUGAUGACACGUUGAUAAAGAUCAAGAUGAUGGAGAUCAUGGUGUCAUGUCGGUGACGAUGGAGAUCAUGAUGGUACUUUGGGGAUGGAGAUCAAAGGCACAAGAUGAUGAUGGACAUAUCAUGUCACAUAUUUUGAUUGCAUUGAUGUUUAUCUUUUAUAUUCUUAUUUUGCUUAGUUCGGCGGUAGCAUUAUAAGAUGAUCCCUUACUAAAAUUUCAAGGUAUAAGUGUUCUCCUUGAGUAUGCACUGUUACGAUAGUUCUUCGUGCCGAGACACCACGUGAUGAUCGGGUGUGAUAAGCUCUACGUUCACAUACAACGGGUGCAAGCCAGUUUUGCACACACAGAAUACUCGGGUUAAACUUGACGAGCCUAGCAUAUGUAAAUAUGGCCUCGGAACACUGGAGACUGAAAGGUCGAGCAUGAAUCAUAUAGUAGAUAUGAUCAACAUAGUGACGUUCACCAUUGAAAACUACUCCAUCUCACGUGAUGAUCGGACAUGGUUUAGUUGAUUUGGAUCGCGUGAUCAUUUAGAUGACUACAGGGAUGUCUAUCUAAGUGGGAGUUCUUAAAGUAAUAUGAUUAAUUGAACUUUUAUCAUGAACUUAGUCCUGAUAUAUUUUACAAAUUAUGUUGUAGAUCAAUAGCUCGUGUUAUAGCCUCCCUAUGUUUUUUAUAUGUUCCUAGAGAAAACUAAGUUGAAAAAUGAUAGUAGCAAUGAUGCAAACUGGGUCCGUGAUCUGAGGUUUAUCCUUGCUGCACAGAAGAAUUAUGUCCUUGAUGCACCGCUAGGUGACAGACCUAUUGCAGGAGCAGAUGCAGACGUUAUGAAUGUUUGGCUAGCUCAGUAUGAUGACUACUUGAUAGUUUAGUGCACCAUGCUUUACGGCUUAGUACCGGGACUUCAAAGACAUUUUGAACGUCGUGAAGCAUAUGAGAUGUUUUAAGAGUUGAAGUUAAUAUUUCAAGCAAAUGCCCGAGUUGAGAGAUAUGAAGUCACUAACAAGUUCUAAAGCUAAAAGGUGGAGGAUAAUAGCUCAAGCAGUGAGCAUGUGCUCAGAUUUUCUGGGUACUACAAUCGCUUGAAUCAAGUGGGAGCUAAUCUUCUAGAUAAGAUAGUGAUUGAAAGAGUUCCCUAGUCACCAUCACCAAGUUACUGGAACUUCGUGAUAAACUAUAAUAUGCAAGGGAUGAUAAAAUAAAUUCCCGAGCUCUUCGUGAUGCUAAAAAUCGACAAAGGUAGAAAUCAAGAAAGAGCAUCAAGUGUUGAUGAUUGACAAGACCACUAGUUUAAAGAAAAAGGGAAAGGGAAAGAAAGGGAACUUCAAGUAGAAUGACAAGCAAGUUGUCACUCCUGUGAAGAAGCCCAAAGCUGGACCUAAGCCUGAAACUGAGUGCUUAUACUACAAAGGAAAUGGUCACUGGAAGCGGAACUACCCCAAAUAUUUGGCGGAUAAGAAGGAUGGCAAAGUGAACAAAUGUAUAUUUGAUAUACAGAUUAUUGAUGUGUACUUUACUAGUGUUCAUAGAAACCCUGGGUAUUUGAUACCGGUUCGGUUGCUAAAAUUAGUAACUCGAAACGGGAGUUGCAGAAUGAACAGAGACUAGUUAAGGGUGAAGUGACGAUGUGUGUUGGAAGUGGUUCCAAGAUUGAUAUGAUCAUCAUUGCACACUCCCUAUACUUUUGGGAUUAGUGUUAAACCUAAAUAAAUGUUAUUUGACGUUUGCGUUGAGCAUGAAUAUGAUUUGAUCAUGUUUAUUGCAAUACAGUUAUUCAUUUAAAGUCAGAGAAUAAUUGUUGUUCUGUUUAUAUGAAUAAAACCUUCAAUGGUCAUACACCCAAUGAAAAUAGUUUGUUGGAUCUCGAUCAUAGUGGUACACAUAUUCAUAAUAUUGAUGCCAAAAGAUACAAAGUUGAUAAUGAUAGUGCAACUUAUUUGUGGCACUGCCGUUUGGGUCAUAUCGGUGUAAAGCGCAUGAAGAAACUCCAUAAAGAUGGACUUUUGGAUCACUUGAUUAUGAAUCAUUUGAUACCUGUGAACCGUGCCUUAUAGGCAAGAUGACUAAAACUCCGUUCUCCGUAACAAUGGAACGAGUUACUGACUUAUUGGAAAUAAUACAUACUGGUGUAUGCAGUCCAAUGAGUGUAGAUGCUCGUUGUAGGUAUCGUUAUUUUCUGACCUUUACAGAUGAUUUGAGCAGAUAUGGGUAUAUCUACUUAAUGAAACACAAGUCUGAAACAUUUGAAAAGUUCAAAGAAUUUCAGAGUGAAGUGGAGAAUCAUCAUAACAAGAAAAUAAAGUUUCUACGAUCUGAUCAUGGAGGAGAAUAUUUGAGUUACGAGUUUGGCCUUCAUCUAAAACAAUGUGGAAUAGUUUCUCAGCUCACGCCACCUGGAACACCAUAGUGUAAUGGUGUGUGUCGGUGUCAAAACCGGCGGAUCUUGGGUAGGGGGUCCCGAACUGUGCGUCUAGGCGGAUGGUAACAGGAGACGAGGGACACGAUGUUUUACCCAGGUUCGGGCCCUCUUGAUGGAGGUAAAACCCUACGUCCUGCUUGAUUAAUAUUGAUGAUGUGUGUUACAAGAGUAGAUCUACCACGAGAUCAAGGAGGCUAAACCCUAGAAGCUAGCCUAUGGUAUGAUUGUUGUUUGUCCUACGGACUAAAGCCAUCCGGUUUAUAUAGACACCGGAGAGGGCUAGGGUUACACAAAGUCGGUUACAAUGGUAGGAGAUCUACAUAUCCGUAUCGCCAAGCUUGCCUUCCACGCCAAGGAAAGUCCCAUCUGGACACGGGACGAAGUCUUCAAUCUUGUAUCUUCAUAGUCUUGGAGUCCGGCCGAUGAUGAUAGUCCGGCUAUCCGGACACCCCCUAAUCCAGGACUCCCUCAGUAGCCCCUGAAUCAGGCUUCAAUGACGAUGAGUCCGGCGCGCAUGUUGUCUUCGGCAUUACAAGGCAGGUUCUCCCUCCGAAUAAUUCAUAGAAGAUUGUGAACACCAGGAUAGUGUUCGGCUCUGGAAAAUAAUUUCCACAUACCACCGUAGAGAGAAUAAUAUUUACACAAGUUCAAUCUGCUGACGUAUUUGAUGGCGUGACGUCACACCACUACCAAGCCUUUACUUAAAUCGUUUUUAUUGUACCACCUCAGCGCGUUUAGCGAAGCGGUUUCCUUGGCACGUCUUGUCGAAGCAGAGAUUGUGUUCCCCUUAUUAUGGGAUUCCCAUCAAUACGGACGUGGGUAACCCAACCGCGCCAUUGAUUGCGGCGCUUGGGGGAUAAGCGAGUUUUAUCAGGCCGGUGGGGACGCAUGUUUCCGUCCGCCCAUAUAAGGGGAUAAAGAUCCAACCCUUUUACCUGCGCCUUUUUCCUCCUUGGCUUAUCCAUCUCUGUGAACCCGAGCUCCAGCGCCCAAGCCCGCACAUCUCACCUCAACCUUCUCCAACUAUAUCCGGAGCAGGAGGCAAGUGGAUGGCCUCCUCCGUCACGGAGGGGCAGAUCCAGAAGCUGCGCAACGCCGGAUACUUGUCCAGCGAUAUUGCGCACCGGCUCCCGAACAAGGGAGAGCUCAUCCCCACCCCCAAGCCCCAUGAGAGGGUAGUAUUCCUUCCCCAUUUCCUCCGCGUACUGGGCUUCCCGCUCCAUCCCUUUGUCUGGGGGCUCAUGUUCUACUACGGCCUGGAUUUCCAUGAUCUGGCCCCGAAUUUCAUCCUCAACAUCUCGGUGUUUAUCGUCUUGUGCGAGGCCUUCCUCUGCAUCCAGCCCCACUUCGGCUUGUGGCUCAAGACCUUCAGUGUCAAGCCGAAGGUUGUGAAGGGCAGCCAAGCGGAGUGCGGAGGCUCCAUGGUGGGCAGGAUGUCCCACGUUACGUGGCUGGAGGGCACUUUUGUGGAAACCAUCAAGGGGUGGCAAUCGGGGUGGUUCUACAUCACCGAGCCGCGUGACCCUGAUUGGGCAGCGACCCCCGAAUUCAGAUCCGGCAUCCCCACACGGCUCACCUCCUGGAAAGAGAGUGGCCGGAUCUGGGGCGAUUCGGAGGAGCUGACCGGACUCCAAGCCUGUAUCCAAAAGCUGGUGGACAAGAAGCUCAAGCUUGUUAACGUAGUCCAGGUCAUGCUCAUCCGCCAGAUUCUCCCGUGCCAACGACGGGGCUUCAACCUGUGGGAGUUCGAUCCGGCGCAGCACCAGACUUUGAAUGGGCUCUUCGACACUACGUACAAAGAUGUCUGGAAGAUGCUGUUCAAGGGCGCCGAGGCUCCCGCAUCCGCUACCGAAGAUCGCGGAUUCAGCUUGGAGCGUCCAGCUGAUGAGGUAAGUUAUUUUGUCCUUUAAGGGACGCUUGUUUUCCAUAGUUUGACUCUAUGCGGGAUCUAAACUCCCUUUCCUUUGACAGGACUGGCUGAAGAAGGCGGCACAAGCUAUCAGUCCGGCCCCAUUGCCAGAGGUCCCAGCGGACGCCCGUUUGACGGGGCUGCUGGCUCCGGCACCCCAUGUGGUGCCGGAGAAGAAGGCCAAGAAGAAGGCCACGGGGACUCGGAAGAGUUCCCGUUUUCAGGUGCUAUCGGAUGAUGAAUCCGAGGCCGACUCCUCCCACCAAGGCGAGGAGGAGAAGAAGAAAGCCUCUCCCCCAGCGGGGGGAGGGAAGAAAAGGAAGGCCUCCCCAACAAGGGAGGCCGAAGGGUCCAAGAAGGGAAAAACUCUUCCCCCGGACUGCUCUGCCAACGCCAGUGACGACGACGAGGACUGGCCUCCAAGGGCCAAGCCCCUGGUGAGAUCGUAAGUAUCCGGACUCCCGAAUAACUUCAAGGUUUUUAUUUUCUGCCACAUAAUGUCUUUCUAAUGCCGCAUACAACCCUGCAGUCCGCCUAAGGAUGAUCUUCCCACUUCGUCGAGCGGGUCCUUAGGUGCGUCGGAUAUGGAUUCUCUUCCGACUGCCUCCACCCCCCGCGACACGGACGAUGCCGAGGUGGAAUCCCAGGAAGGGACCCACCAGGAGGAGAGGGCCCCGGAGGUGUCGCAGGACAACCUCCCGGACUUUGCACCGGACUCGGCCCUGGAACCCACACUGGCUCCGGAGUCCGGCGGGCGACCCCUUCGCAAGAAGGGCAAGACCGUGACCCCGGCUGCCUCCGUCCGACCGGAGGUGCCGGAUAAUUUGCUGGAGGCACUCAACGGCGCCUCCAUCAAAGAGGAACACCGCACUGUUAUGAGUGCGGUGAUUCAGAAGGUGCAGCUCGCCAAGAGCGGGCUGACCGAAGCCUGCAGCAGCCUUCUAACAGGCUUUGAGGUAAGAAUUUCAAUAUGUAUAAAAUGGUACCGCAUAGACAGUAGCCCCUGAUGCUCGUUUUGGUGUUUGGAAAGAAAAGCCGGACUGAGGAUCUAAAAAAGAUAUACGCAGGAGUCAUAAAAAUAUGUCAAUAUGGGAUUGCAGGCUGCGCUGCUGACCUCUGCCGCACUGACUGCGGAGGUCAAUACUUUGAAGGAAAACCUCGAGCGGUCCGAGAAUGAGCUCGGCCGUGCCAAGAAGCAGCUCGAGGACAAGGAAGGUGAGUAACACCUUAUUAAAAUUGCACCUUAUAGAAAAGGAUUUUGGUUGCAAAAAGAAUGACAAGGAUAACGUGGGUAUUGCAGGGGCCACUAACGAGGUGGCGACCCUGAAAGAGGCGGUGGCCGCAGCCGAACGCAAUGCGGCUAUGGAGCGCACCGAGCGAGAGAAGCAGGAGGCGCGGGUGGUGGAGGUACAGCAAGAGCUCCAGGAUCUCGUGCAGAAACAUGAGAGCCUGGAGCGUGACUGGAAGACUCGAGAGUCUGAGCUUGCAAUGGCUCUUGAGAGUGCCAAAGCCAUUAAGGUUGAAGCCUACAAGGCCCUCCAGGAGAUCGAGGCGGUAAAGAAAAUAGCAGCGGGUAAGGCAUUUUUCAUGCAAAGUAAGCAUGUGAGUGUUAAUUACCUGUCGCUUACCCGAAUUCGGAGCUCUCCAGGAGCAUUCGCAGAUCUUCCUCGCAGCGUGUCCGAUGCUGCCGCAUUCUACCGGGCCGAGGAGGGGAGCUCGACGAAGAAGGUCUUCUGGUCUCAAUAUGCUGAGGCUGGACAUCCGGUGCCCCUAAGCGACCAGCUGAAGCAGCUGGUCGAGCUCCACAAGGCGGCCGAACAGGCCAUGAAGGGCCUCAUAGUUCAGUUGUGGCCUAAGGAGGCCAUGCCUGGGAGCUACUUCGGCCUGGUGCGGCGGCUGGUGGAUGCGUGCCCGUGGGUUGAAGUCAUCAAGCACUCCGCCUGUAUUGAGGGUGCCCGUCGGGCCCUUGCCCGCGCAAAGGUGCACUGGGGCAAGAUGGAUGCCCAGAAGCUUGUGACGGACCCACCACCAGAGGGCAAGGAGCAUCGCACGCCCGAGAUGUAUUAUAAGAGUGUGCUGAAGGGCGCCCGCACUAUUGCGGGAGAGUGCUCCAAAGAUGUAAUUUUUGAGUAGACUCGCAUUUUGUUAUCCCGUGCGCUGAAAACUUAGUUCAUUUGCACUAAGCAAUGCUUCUUGAUUUAAAAUAUUACCUUCUGUGUGGCUGUUUAUCAAAUCUGAGAGAUGGCAAGUCGUCGGCUUCAGCCCCCACACCACGAGUGCUGGGGUGUUCGGGAUAAAUUUGAGCGCUCUUGUUCCCAUAUUUGGGUCCAUCUAGGGAGGCGCUCAACACAACGAACAAGGCAACCGGACUUAUAAUGCUUGAACACUCUCACUUAGCCAUAGAAUUCUAUAAUUUUAAAUUUCGGCGAAGCCCCUAGUCUUCGGAAGGCCGAAUUUGGGGCGCUAUCCACGCCUGGGCCGGACAAAAUCCGGCUCCUCGCUCUAAGCGGCAUAAGUCUUUAAGGACUCACAAAAACCUCUCAAACAGCGACCGGCUCUCGCCUCAUCAUGACGGUCAGUUUUAGCUUUCUCCACUGAGGCGUUAACCCAACUCAACUGGGGCGCAAUCGCAGUGGUUCUCCCAGUGCUACCUUAGCCGAUGCAACGGAACGUAAGGUACCAAAACAUGGGAGCCGGGCAAACCCAACUAUUGACCCAAGACAUGAUUCGGAGCCGAUGCAUAUAAUGCUAUAAGUUUGGGGCGCCGCACUUGUGAAAGUGUUCGGACUUAUCACACCAUGAUGCGGGAAACAUAAGCCCCUGGUGUGUUUUAACCGUACCAAAGUGUACGGAUGCGACAUGUCGUAAAUGAACAUAUGUAUGAAAAAGAAAUGCAAUUAUAAGCAAAAAGGUGCUGCAUUGUUUUAUUCAAUAAGUGUUGCGAUGAAUGCAGAACGAUACAAAUAGUGCGAUAAGCGAGGGAUGGGACUGUUAAACAUGUCCCCCUCCAGGGGUAGGCUGCGAAGUGGUGUAUAAAAAUGCUCGUAGUGGAGACCACCUCUAUAUUCGUUGCAGCCUUUAUCCUUCUCUGGCUGUUGCAUCGUGAGUUCGGCAGGUUUGCUACCGGACAGGUCCUCUAAUGACGGAGUCCUGUGGGUAAAAAAUAAAAGGUAAAAAGAAAAAAAGAACGACACACUUGAGAGCCCCUGGUGUGGUUGAGCCGCAGUCUGGGCUUAUCGUGGUCGUGCCCCUCUCCCCAUGCCCAUGGUAUCUUCAGAGCGUAAUGAUGCACGCGAAGGACCUGUUUUGACGUUUUACAGGGGCUGGGGAUGGGGCCGCACUGCUACGCGUGCUCGGAACAUGCCAGGUGGUCUUGUUGUAGGUUACUCCGGGCGCGCUUAGCUAUGUCCGGCCGUUUAACGUCCGGACUCGAGAAUUGCCUUAAGAGGCUGCAUUGUACUUCUGCCGCGAGAGCCGCUGUAUGUUCCUCCAUUCGGAGAGAAUGUUCAGUGUUUCCGUUGACCGUGAUGACUCCUCGAGGGCCUGGCAUCUUGAGCUUGAGGUAUGCGUAGUGUGGCACCGCGUUGAACUUUGCGAACGCGGUACGUCCGAGCAGGGCAUGAUAGCCGCUGCAGAACGGAACUAUGUCGAAGAUUAACUCCUCGCUCCGGAAGUUAUUCGGGGAUCCGAAGACCACUUCCAGUGUAACUGAGCCUGCACAAUUGGCUUCUACACCUGGUAUGACGCCUUUAAAGAUCAUCUUGGUAGGUUUAAUCCUUGAGGGGUCUAUGCCCAUUUUGCGCACUGUGUCCUGAUAAAGCAGGUUCAGGCUGCUGUCGCCGUCCAUCAGGACUCUGGUGAGGUGAAAUCCAUCGACGAUUGGGUCUAGAACCAAUGCGGCAAAUCCGCCAUGGCGGAUGCUGGUGGGGUGGUCCCUCCGGUCAAAAGUGAUCGGGCAGGAGGACCAUGGAUUGAACUUCGGGGCAACUGGCUCCAUCGCGUAUACAUCCCUGAGUGCACGCUUCCGCUCCCUUUUGGGUAUGUGCGUUGCGUAUAUCAUGUUCACCGUCCGCACCUGUGGGGGGAAACCCUUCUGUCCUCUAUUGUUCGGCGGUCGGGUCUCUUCCUCGUCAUCGCUAUGCAGCCCCUUGUCAUUGUUUUCGGCAAUUAACUUGCCUGCCUGCUUGAAUACCCAACAGUCCCUGUUGGUGUGGUUAGCUGGCUUUUCAGGGGUGCCAUGUAUCUGGCACAAGCGGUCGAGUAUUCGGUCCAAAUUGGACGGACCCGGAGUAGUUCUUUUGAAUGCCUUUUUCCGCUGACCGGGUUUAGAGCCUCUGAAUCCGGCAUUGAUUGCCGUAUCUUCACUGUUGUUGCCGUUAAUGCAGCGUUUGUUUUUGUUACGACGCGGCCUGCCAUUGCGGUCCUUGAUAUCCGGACUGCCAGAAUUUUUGCUGAGGUUGUUGCUGCGUGCUAGCUAGCUGUCCUCACCCGCGCAGAAGCGGGUCAUGAGUGAUGUGAGGGCUGCCAUGGAUUUUGGCUUUUCCUGUCCUAGGUGCCGGGCGAGCCACUCGUCGUGGAUAUUAUGCUUGAAGGCUGUAAGGGCCUCUGCAUCCGGACAGUCAACGAUUUGGUUUUUCUUGGUUAAGAACCGUGUCCAGAAUUGUCUGGCCGAUUCGUCUGGCUGCUGAAUUAUGUGGCGUAGGUCAUCAGCGUCUGGUGGUCGCACAUACGUGCCUUGAAGUUAUCGAGAAUGCGGCUUCCAGGUCUUUCCAACUCCCAAUUGACUCUGCUGGCAAGCUGUUAAGCCAAUGCCGGGCUGGUCCUUUAAGCUUGAGGGGGAGAUAUUUGAUGGCGUGAAGAUCGUCACCGCGGGCCAUGUGGAUGUGAAGGAGAUAGUCUUCAAUCGAAACCGAGGGGUCUGUUGUGCCAUCGUAAGAUUCAAUAUUCAUAGGUUUAAACCCUUCGGGGAUUUGAUGAUCCAUUACUUCAUUUGUGAAGCAUAGUGGGUGUGCGGCGCCUCUGUAUUGGGCAAUAUCGCGAUGGAGCUCAAAAGAGCUUUGUCUGUUUUGUUCGGCCUUGCCGGACUUACUGUGUCCGGAGCGACGGUUGUCGUCACGUAUCAUGGGGCGCCCACGUGAUCCAUAGAUCGAUCUUGAUUGUCUUGCCCUAUCCUCCAAUAUAUCUCGCAAGUCCGGAGCGUUCCCCUGUGGCCUUGUGCUUUUCGAGCGAUGUCGGGGUACGGGUCUAGUGAAGGGCUUAGAAGCCUCUCUGUCGCGACCACGGGGUGGUCGGUCAGCCGUAUUGUCUCCUGGUGAUGUGGGUUCAUAUGCUUCCUCCUCUAACCAGGGGAGCAACUUGCGUUUAGGGUAACUUUUGGAGGGGCGUUCGAGCUCAUGCUCUUCGGCCGCGAGGACUUCAGUCCAUCUGUCGGCUAGCAGAUCUUGAUCAGCUCUAAGCUGUUGCUGCUUUUUCUUGAGGCUGUUCGCCAUGGCCAUAAGCCUGCGUUUAAAACGCUCUUGUUUGACAGGAUCCUCAGGCACGACGAAUUCGUCGUCGUCGAGGCUGGCCUCGUCUCCGGAGGGAGGCAUGUAGUCCUCUACCUCUUCUUCUGCCGCUCUCUCAUGAGGGCUGGCGUCUCUGUCCUCCUGUGCUGGAUCUUGCUGGAGUGGGUUGUCUUCGGCACUAUCCGGUGUAUUAUUAUCUCCGGUGCCGGAAUCUUCAUUUUUGCUUUGGCAGGAUUUGGAGCGGCGCCGCUGACGCCGACGCUUGGGCUGUUUCUUGGAGGGGUCAUCCUCCGCUGCCCCUUCGCCAUUCCCAUCCUUUGGGAUAUCCACCGUGUAUAUGUCAUAUGAUGAGGUGGCUUUCCAGUGCCCUGUAGGUGCUGGUUCUUGGUCGUCUCCGGCAUCGUCGUCCAUACCGUCGAUGUCUUCGGAGUCGUAGUCUAGCAUGUCGGUUAGAUCAUCGACAGUGGCUACCAAGUGGGUGGUGGGUGGGCCUUGAAUUUCUUCGUUGUCCGCAUCCCAACCGUCCUGGCCGCAGUCCGGCCAGGGCUCUCCUGAUAACGAGAGAUACUUCAGUGAACUCAAGAUGUCGCCAAAAGGUGAGUGUUGAAAGAUGUCCGCCGCGGUGAACUCUAUGAUCGGCGCCCAAUCGGAUUCGAUCGGAGGGGGCGCUGGAGGUUCGGAGUCCGGCAAGGAGUCCGGCACCUCGGAGUCACGAGCUUUAUGAGGGACAAGGUCAGUGUUCGGCUCUAUCGCCAUAGAGGUUGCAGCCCCCAAGGUGAUGUCUAGCCAUCCGUCCUCGAUCUGCACAGCCGGCUCCGAAUUGAAGAUCGGAGCGGGCUCGAGUGCGGCCUCCAGGGUACUGUCCGGCAGCAGAGCUAAAUCAUGCCCGUCGCGACAAUGCGGCACGCUCAGCUGUGGCUCGAAUCCAUCAAGGAUCAAGUCCCCACGGAUGUCGGUCGUGAAGUUCAAACAUCCAAAUCUGACCUGACGGCCAGGGGCGUAGCUUUCGAUCUGCUCUAGAUGGCCAAGCAAAUUGGCCCACAGUGCAAAGCCGCCGAAUACAAAGAUCUGUCUGGGGAGGAAGGUCUCACCCUGGACUACGUCGUUGAUGACGAUCGAAGAAGCCAUCGAGCCUAUCGGCGACGACACAGAGGAACUCUCAAUGAAAGCACCAAUGUCGGUGUCAAAACCGGCGGAUCUCGGGUAGGGGGUCCCGAACUGUGCGUCUAGGCGGAUGGUAACAGGAGACGAGGGACACGAUGUUCUACCCAGGUUCGGGCCCUCUUGAUGGAGGUAAAACCCUACGUCCUGCUUGAUUAAUAUUGAUGAUGUGUGUUACAAGAGUAGAUCUACCACGAGAUCAAGGAGGCUAAACCCUAGAAGCUAGCCUAUGGUAUGAUUGUUGUUCGUCCUACGGACUAAAGCCAUCCGGUUUAUAUAGACACCGGAGAGGGCUAGGGUUACACAGAGUCGGUUACAAUGGUAGGAGAUCUACAUAUCCGUAUCGCCAAGCUUGCCUUCCACGCCAAGGAAAGUCCCAUCCGGACAUGGGACGAAGUCUUCAAUCUUGUAUCUUCAUAGUCUUGGAGUCCGGCCGAUGAUGAUAGUCCGGCUAUCCAGACACCCCCUAAUCCAGGACUCCCUCAGUGUGUCCGAACAUCGUAACCACACUUUAUCGAAUAUGGUGCGAUCUAUGAUGUCUCUUACCAAUUUACCACUAUGGUUUUGGGGUUAUGCAUUAGAGACAACUGCAUUCACUUUAAACAGGGCACCAUCAAAAUACAUUGAGACGACGCCUUGUGAACUGUGGUUUGGCAAGAAACCAAAGUUGUCGUUUCUUAAAGUUUGGGGUUGCGAUGCUUAUGUGAAAAAUCUUCAACCUGGUAAGCUCGAACCCAAAUCGGAGAAGUGCAUCUUCAUAUGAUACCCAAAGGAAAUUGUUGGGUACACCAUCUAUCACAGAUCCGGAGGCAAGAUCGUUGCUAAGAAUGGAUCCUUUCUAGAGAAGGAGUUUCUCUCGAAAGAAGUGAGUGGGAGGAAAGUAGAGCUUUAUGAGGUAAUUGUACCUUCUCCCGAAUUGGAAAGUAGUUCAUCACAGAAAUCAGUUCUUGUGAUUCCUACACCAAUUAGUGAGGAAGCUAAUGAUGAUGAUCAUGAAACUUCAGAUCAAGUUACUACCGAACCUCAUAGGUCAACCAGAGUACAAUCUACACAAGAGUAGUACGAUAAUCCUAUUCUGGAAGUCAUGUUACUAGACCAUGAUGAACCUACAAACUAUGAGGAAGCGAUGAUGAUCCCAGAUUCCGCGAAAUGGCUUGAGGCCAUGAAAUCUGAGAUGGGAUCCAUGUAUGAGGACAAAGUGUGGACUUUGGUUGACUUGCCCGAUGAUCGACAAACCAUUAAGAAUAAAUGGAUCUUCAAGAGGAAGACGGACACUGAUAGUAGUGUUACUAUCUACAAAGCUUGACUUGUCGCAAAAAGGUUUUCAUCAAGUUCAAGGUGUUGACUAGAAUGAGAUUUUCUCAACUGUAGCGAUGCUUAAAUCCGUCCGAAUCAUGUUAGCAACUGUCAUAUUUUAUGAAAUCUGGAAAGUGGAUGUCAAAACUACAUUCCUUAAAUAGAUAUUUCUUAAAGAAGAGUUGUAUAUGAUGCAACCAGAAGGUUUUGUCAAUCCUAAAGGUACUAACAAGGUGUGGAAGCUCCAGCGAUCCAUCUAUGGACUGGUGCAAGCAUCUCAGAGUUGGAAUAUAUGCUUUGAUGAGUUGAUCAAAGCAUAUAGUUUUAUACAGACUUGCGGUAAAGCCUGUAUUUACAAGAAAGUGAGUGGGAGCUCUGUAGCAUUUCUAAUAUUAUAUGUGGAUGACAUAUUGUUGAUUGGAAAUGAUAUAGAAUUUCUGGAUAGCAUAAAGGGAUACUUGAAUAAUAGUUUUUCAAUGAAAGACCUCAGUGAAGCUGCUUACAUAUCGGGCAUCAAGAUCUAUAGAUAGAUCAAGACGCUUGAUAAGAUUUUUCAAUGAGUAAAUACCUUGACAAGUUUUUGAAAGAGUUCAAAAUGGAUCAGUCAAAGAAGAAGUUCUUGUCUGUAUUACAAGGUGUAAAGUUGAGUAAGACUCAAAGCUCGACCAUGGCAGAAGAUAGAAAGAGAAUGAAAGUCAUUCCCUAUGCCACAGUCAUAGGUUCUAUAAAGUAUCACUACAAAAAAAUACACUUCCGUGAUGAUACGUGUUUGUCACAGUAGGUCGCGUUUUUGUCAUGCAUGUACAUCCAUGACGAUUUUAUGACAAAAUCAAGAUGGUCAUACCUGUGCUGUCGUAGAAGUGUUCCAUGACAUUACCAAAAUUAUCAUCACGGAAGGGUCCACUUCCAUGACAAUAAAUCGCGCGUCACAGAAGUGCUUUCUUCAAGGGUGACCGACACGUGGCAUCCACCGUAACGGAACGCCGUUAAGCUAUCGGGUCGGAUUUUGGAUCCGAUAACCCGUUAACAGCCCCGACCAAUGGGGAUUUUCCACGUGUAAAAUCAUCAUUGGCUGGAGGAAAGACGUGUCGGCUCAUCGUUGGGACAGAUGUCAUCCACUCAUUGGACAGAAGGCGCCUAUGAUACGUCGACACGUGGCACGGCCCAACAGAGGCCCAUUCCUGUGAAAAGGCUGGCCCGUUUGACUUGGUCAAAAGGUGGCGGGCCGGCCCAUGGAAAGCCUGUUAACGACUUGUUCGCAUAUAGCCCAUUUACAACCCGCUAACCCAAGGCCCGUUACGCCCUAUCCGAAUUAGGCCCAGUAGCGUCAUCUGGGCCAUCCAAUAUGAUUCCAGCCCGUUUUCACUUCUGGCCCAUGUAUGGCCCAUGACAUCUUUCGGCCCAUAUGAGGCCCUAUGUAACUCUUGGCCUAUUAACGGCCCAUGGUGAAACUGGCCCGUAAUGAACAGUGUAUCACUUUACACCCAUUAACAGUGUAUCACUUUAUACCCAUUAAUGACCCGUUAUUCCGUUGGGCCGUUUCCAGCCCAUGUUAUCUUUCGGCCUUCUUAGAGCCCAUUUAUUCUUGGGCUCAUUUCCAGCAUUCGUUUACUUACGGCCUAUUACUGUCAUUUUCUGCUUGUGGGCCAAAUUCAGCCCGUGGUUACAGUCGGCUCAUUUGUGGUCCGUUAAUAUGUUGGGCCGUUUUCAUAGAGUCAUCAAAUACGGCCUAUUAACGAUGGCCCGUUAUGGUCGGUCCAUGAACGGACGAUUCCAACUCUAGCCCGUUUACGGCCAUAAUGCGGCCUGUUAUUGGCCCAUGUUUGGCCAAUCGAUCAUACGGCCCGUAUAAGGCCCAUUGAUGAUACGGCCCGUAGAAGGCCCAUUGUUUCUAUGGCCCGUAGAAGGCCUUCUGUUUCUACGACCCAUAGAAGGCCCACUGUUUCUACGGCCCGUAGGAGGCCCAGUGUCACUACAGUAAAUAUUAGCCCAUGGUUAUUAUGGCCUAGUUUUAAAAAAUAGGUUAUUGCAUCCACUAGCAAACCGUGGAAAAAGAACUGCACUGACUACAAGCAAACAAAUAAACAAGACAACGAGGAAAUAAAUAAGCAAGCAACUUAUGCUAGGCUAUCACGACUAUUACACAUAUUACAUCCACUGGGCAUCAAAGUUCGCCACCAGUGCAAAUAUAGGGAACAAAGCAGCAUAUAAACGCCGCAACAAAACAAGUCCAGAACUGAAACCACUUCAGAAGAGUUCAAGAAACAAUAUCCUGGGUACCCAUAAUGCUGGCAAGAUGCUUAGCAAGCUUAUUAACUUUCUCUUGUUUGGCGCUUAAAUCCUCCAGCGCUUGCUGUUGCACAAGAAAGUACGCAUCUGAAUUCUGCAGGGACUUCCUUAGUCCUUCGGCUUCUUGCCGCAGCACAGCUGACUGAUGCCUUUCAGCUUGUAGCUGAGUCUGAAGAAGCCGAAGUGAUUCAGGCAGCGAGUUCGAAGAGCUUGUGCCAGCGGUACUGGCCAGUAACUCGAAAACUACAUCAACGCAGGACUGUGUGGGGUUUUCUCACUGUCUACAAGAUCAUUUUUAUCACCUUUCUUGGAGACCAACAGGGUUGUCUCACUAUCUUGAACCUUAUCUGCAUUACUUUCUCUACCAUUGCAUAGUGGGGUGCUCUUCUCCAAUAUUCUGUUUGCAUACUACAAGAGAAACAAGCAGACACAUCACAUGUUUAGCUUGUAGUAUACGAAACUCAUUUUGGUAAACCGGUUCAGUAGUAAGGUGGACAGGAUAACAUCAUGAAACCAACAUAUAUCUAUGUACUGGUCACUGUAUUGUCCAUAUCAUUCUAGUUUAUGUUCCCUAAUCAAGACAGAGACACAGUUCAACUCAUAUAUUUUUUAAGACACAGCAGCAUAGACAGAAUAUAAGUGUGAGAAACUACACAGCAUUGGCAGCACUUGUAAUGUGCAUCACAUGAGAACAUAACUGUUUAUACAACUUAAACUGAAAUCAACAUAGAGCAAGAAGUUAGAACAACAAUCCAGUUAAAGAAAUAGGUUUAAAACAUACCUAUUGCGCCAUUGGAGUUUCAAUUGGAUCCUUCAAAUUCGAAAGUAGUUGGUAUGAGUAAAUACAGUGAUGCAACAACAAAGGAGUAUGGACCAUAGCUACGGAAUCUGACCUGAGAACAGUUGCUCUUCUGCUUUAAACGUGGAGUUUGGGUUAGCUGUGGUGGUAUUCGUGCUUUGGGCACUGCAGUAGCUUUACAAACUGCUCGUGUGGGGGUACUCUGUGGUGGACAUGGUGCUUUGUCAACUAGAAGUGGGUUACUAUCCACUGGGGUUGCGGUUAGAUGGGUUGUAGCUUGUUCUCUACCCAAUGGUGUAAGUGUGCAAUCUGGAAGAGUCUCGAUUAUGUGUGGUGGGGCUAGUUUGUGGGCCAGUACAACCAUGGUUCUAUCUGCAUCGAUGGGUAACACUGUCUUUUGUGAAGAACGAGUUUUUGCUCCCUUAGAUACUGCCAUCACCCCCUCCAAUUCAAAUGGCUGAUAAACAAGAAAAGAAAUUGAAUGUACAGACAUUGUAUGAUAGACAGAUGUGGUAAUUCACAUAUAUGUUGUCUAACCAAAUAGGACAGCAUGACACAAUUUCACAUAUAUGAUGCCUAACUAAACAGGAUAGCAUGACACAGUUUCAGAUAUAUGAUGGAUAACUUAACAGGAUAUAAUGGCAUAAUUCAACAUAUGAUGAGUACCUAAACAGGAUGACAUGACAAAACUAUAUGGUGUCUUUCUAAAAUAGGUUGGGAUGAAAUAAUUCACAUACAUGUUGUCUAAGUAUACAGGAUGACAUGAUAUAAUUGACAUAAUUGAUUCAUAUACUAAGCAGCUGGCACUCGCAUGUAUGAUCUCUAAACUAAGCAGAUAGAAUUCAAUAUUGUGCAUAUGAUGUCUAAACUAAGCAAUGCAAGACACCAUAUGCAUCAUAUGAGAAAUAUAAACAUUGCAACUUAGAGCAUACACCUCAGGUGGGAUAUAGGACUGGUCAUCUGUCUCCUGAAUCCUCCUCUGAGGAGCUCCCUGUAACCAUCGAGAUAUAUGCUUCAACAGGUACCAUUGCCUGCUCUGAAGACCUUGUUUUCACUACAGAUUUUUCCAUAACUGGCUCAAAUGGCUGAUACACAUGAAGAGUAGUUCAAUAUACACAGACUGUCGACAAAUGGAAUAUGUAAUGAAAAAAAGAUGGCAUGAGAUAAUUCACAUAUAUGAUGCCUGGCUCCAUGGCGGUACAUAAUUCACAUAUAUGAUAACUGGCUGAAAAACAUGGCAUUGCAUAAUUCACAUAUCUGAUAUAGAAAGCAAACAAGAGGCAUUCACACAAAGCAUUUCUGAUCUAAGCAGAUGGCAUGGCAAUGCAAGACACCAUAUGCAUGAUAUGAGCAAUAUAACCCAGCCAAGUUAGAGCAUGCACCUCGGGGGGGGGGGAUACGACUGGUCACCUGUCUCUGAAUCCUCCUUUGAGGAGCUAUCUGUAACCAGCAAGAAAUCUGCAUCGACAGGUAGCACUGACUGCUCAGAAGACCUUGUUUUCACUCCAGAUUUUCCCAUGACCGACUCAAAUGGCUGAUGCACAGGAAGAGUAGAUGAAUGUAUAAACAUUCUUGACAAAUGGAAUACAUUAUGGAAAAAAUAUGGCACGAUACAAUUCACAUAUACGAUGACUGGCUAAACAGGAUGGCAUUGCAUGAUUCACGUAUAUGAUGCCUGGCUAAAGAAGAUGGCAUUGCAUAAUUCCCAUAUACUCCCUCCGUUCCUAAAUAUUUGUCUUUUUAGAGAUUUCAAAUGGACUACCACAUACGGAUGUAUAUAGACAUAUUUUAGAGUGUAGAUUCACUCAUUUUGUUCCGUAUGUAAUCACUUGUUGAAAUCUCUAAAAAGACAAAUAUUUAGGAAUGGUGGGAGUAUGAUAUAGAAACCAAACAGGUGGCAUUCACACAAAGCAAAUCUAAACUAAGCUGAUGACAUAUAAGAUGUAUAAUGUAAGCAAUGCAAGGUGCCAUAUGCAUGAUAUGACCAACAUCAGCAUGCCAGGUUAGAGCAAACACCUCAGGUGGUAAACAGGCGUGGUCGGCUCCUUCUGAAUCUCCAUCUGAACAGUUAUCUUCCUCUGGAAUACAAUCUGGAAAUGCAGGAGGGGUGGCACUUCACCCACCAUGGAGCGGCGUUUGCAUGACAUUAUAUUCCCACGCAACGGUCUUCUCUUUUUCUCUACAUGUUCAGUAUGAUUGUGUACAAUAUCUGAUAUGCAUAAUAAAAAAAAUAGUUAGAUUUUGUAAGGCCUAAUGGUUGCAUGCAAAAAUCAAGAUUGAUGGUAGCAAACGAGUGGAUGGAUCCAAAACUAAUGAUAGCAGGUAGAUUAUAGCUUCAGUUUAAAAAGAUAGACAAUGGAUCAUCUAUUGUUUGUUGCCCACCCAACAUGAACCACAUAGAAGACCCCAGAUGAACCAGAUAGUAGACAGAUACUAUUCGUUGCUGGCUCGAUAUGAGACCCAUGGGAAAUUCAAAACUCAAGAUUGAACGAUAAAGUAGCAGGUAAUAAUAAAAGAUGUAUAAUGUAAGCAAACACGAAAGACUGCGACCUCUCUUCCGGAACUGUGUAGUCCUCAGGUUCAUCUGCUCAGUUGAUGAUGGUAAUGCAGUUGGCGUGGCUGCCGACAACGGGGAAGAUGAUCUGAGGCGGCGAAAGAAAGUCUACAGGGGGAUCUCUGCUGCAGUGAAUGCUUCUAUCGAUGGUGCACCUCGGGUGGGGUGGAUGACGGCACGGCAGGAGCAGGACAUAACACACAGAGUUUUCUUUGAUGCCUAUCUGAAAAUGAAGUAAAUCUGUAAGGACUCCUUAGAAUUGGAUGAUUCUAUAAACGCAGGGACAGGAAAAACACAGGAAUAGGAUAGGAAUGCACGUGCAAAACAGAGCAUUUGGAAACAUAGGAUUUCGGUCAACCUGGGUGUUUGGCUCACAUGAAUUGGAAGAACACAGGAAUGGAGAAACAAAGUGAUGCGACGAGUGUACAACCUCUUUGGCAUAGCCUUGUGGACCUCGGCAUCAUUGGGUUGGACGUGGAGGAUGGUGAUGAUGCUGGUGUGACUGUCGGAGGCAGGGAAGAAGAUCCGAGUCCUCUGGAAACGGCGCCGAGGGUACUGCUCCGCUGUGAUGGACGGUUUCGUCGUUGGAGCAGCUCCGCUAAGGUGCACGGCGAUGAGGCUGAAGCAUGACAAGACAGACAACAUUAAUCUAAAGUGGGACCCUAAUAUCAUCUGCAAUAGAUGAUGUAAAAUACAUCACCAAAAAGUGCUAGAUGUAAAAUGCAUCAGCCGCGCCACGGCCGCUCCAACAGAUGCUGUAAGUACUGUUCACUCUGAACUUAACUGAAGAAAAUGAACUUUACAGUCGAAACUGAAUUUUACUAUCGAACCUGAUUGAACUAGUAAUAGAGCAUUGCAAUAGAUGUUUAGGGCGUUCGAGCACUAGUAGCAGAGAAGCAGUGAUCUAGAUCGGCAGAUGCUCGAGCAGGGAACGCACUAGCAGAGAGCAAGUCGUGCAGUAGCACCACGAGCGAGUGCUAAAGCAGCAACUCCUGUAGCUGCCGGAGGUCGUGCAGUAGCAGCAGCAGCGCAAGCGAGAGCAAGAGCAGAGCAGCAGCAUGAACAAAAGAAGGAGCAGUGCAGCAGCAUGACCGACAGCAAGAACAGAGCCGCAGCGCGAGCGAGAGCCGGAGCAGCUACAACUAGUGCGGUUGUGGAAGUCGCUGCCGAGGAAGCAACGACAUGAGGGAGAGACGCCGUGGAUGAUGUGGCCGGCGACGGCGCCAUCGAUGGAGACACGCCAUGUCUGCUCGAUAUCGAGCACCGGCAACCCCGUGAGAUCGAAUAAAAGAUAAAAUGCAGCGGUGAGUGCAGAACCUCCUUGGUGGCGCCGAGUUGGCCUCGGCUUUAUCAGAGGGAUUGGUGAGGGUGCUGCGGUUCCGGUGGGGCAGGUCAAGACGGUGCUGUGGGGAUUGAGGUGGCGCGAUAGACGAGGCGAACGUCGGGGUAGCUCCUUGGAGGUGGAGUACGGGGCGGCUGAUCCGGCGGGACGACGAGAUCGACAACGGAUCCUCAUCCAGUGCGGUGGAUGAGGGACGGCGAGCUGUUGCGGUGGACGACAUAGUCGGGGAAGAGGCUCUGGCUGGGCGGCGGUCGAGAGGCCGACGGAGGAGCGUGGGGUUUCGCGGGUUUUGGCGGCCCCGAUGUACGAAUGGGGGGGCGGGGCGAAGGGGGAGGGGGAGCCAAGCUUAGGGACGCGCUUGUCUGAAAUGUAGGGUAAGUUACCAGCAUACCCCCACCGGUUUUGACACCGCGACGUGGAGCUUCAUUUCCUGCUGAGGGGUAGAAGGGGGAUUUCGCAUGUCUGGGCUACGGGAGCAAUUUCGGAUGAGGAGGGAGUUCUCGCGCGCGUCCAAAUCUCAGGAUAACAAGGCGCAGCACGGAUUGAAGAGGCGGGAGUUUCAAAGCAGGUGAGACAAAAGAUACUCGAGCUUGAAAAUUUCAGGAUAACAAGGUGCGGAUUCCUUGUUCGGUGGAACAAACUUAACGUGUAAAAAAACAAUUCAUACAAGACACAAGAGAUUCAUGUCCCCUUUUACUAUAUUGCUAUAGAUGCCAUUGAAAAAACUACAAGAAAAAUGUAAAAAAAAUCGGGAGAACAAGAUUACCCUUCAUAGUACCAAAUCGAUUCGCACUUCCCUCAACAACAAUAAAAAACAAAUCAAUUCCCACCAAAGAAAGAGUAAUGUCCCUUUGUAUAUGAUUAUAGAUGCCAUGAUCUCGAAUUUCAAUUUUUGAAUCCACGUUAUGUUGAAUUCGAAUAUAUCGUUAGGUGACCUUGCGGUUUAUAAUUGAUGUAGUCGUACAUUUUGAUCUUCCAUCAUAUAUGAACAUUUUACUCCACCAUGUGAACAUAUAUAUUGUCGUCUACCAUAUGGACUAAAUUUGAAUCAAAUUUCCUUAUUUUAAUAUGAUUGUUGUCAAGUUAUACAAUAAUUUAAAUAUUAUCUUGAUAACAAAAAACAUGCAUAUAGUAGUAAUCAUAUUUCACUAUGAACUACAUGUACCAUACGCUCUCCAAUUCAAAUAUUUGUAUCCAUUUUAUGUUGAAUUCAAAUCAUAGUACAUUAUUUGUCUAGGUAGCGAGAUGUUUGGGAUAAUCUAAACCUUGUUUUCAUAUGUAUAAUUUUUGGCUGAAUUGGGACAAGUUUUGGUAUAAGCUUCUUGCAAAACCAGAGAUUCUCUCAACAAGCCUUGUGGUUCCGAGAGGGAACGUGUCACCUUUGUGUGCGAAACGAUAUACGCUGCCUCCCCCUUGAUUUUAUUUACAGAGGCAACAUAGAACUAUAUGAGUGCCCUGUUAAAUUUUGGAAUUAUUUCAGGUUCAUUUGGCCUUUUUAUACAUUAAUUGAGUUUCUGGACUUUUAAUGUGCAUAAUCUAAAUAUGAAUUGCAUGCACAUGCUCCGGUGCACCAAAGUGGGUUGAAAAAUCACAUGUGUGUCCUUGGUUGAAUUUCUAGGUCCCAUGGAAGAAAUGAGAAUGAAAUUCAAACAUCUGGGCGUCAUGACUCGGCCAAGAACAUCGAGAAACUUAGAUUUUAAAUUCAUGUAAAUCCAAAACUCACGUGGAAAUCAUGAAACUUGGCAUGGUGUCAUGUCAUGGCACUAACAUGUUGUGGUAAAAAAUUGGGCCGAUCUGGAAUCUCGUGGUUCUAAGAGGGAACGUGCCACCUUUGAGUGUGAAACGAUAUACGCUGCCCCCCCUUGAGUUUCUUAACAAAGGCAACAUAGAACUACAUUAGUACCUGUUAAAUUUUGGAAUUAUUCCGGGUUCGUUUGUCGUUUUUUAUACAUCAAUUGAGUUUCUGGUCAUUUAAUGUGCAUAAGUCAAAUUUGAACUACAAGCACAUGCUCUCGUGCACCAAAGUUGGUUGAAAAAUCACAUUUGUGUCCUCGGGUGAAUUUCUAGGUCCCAUGCAAGAAAUGAGAAUAAAAUUAAAACAUCUGGGCAUCGUGGCUCAGCCGAGAACAUUGAGAAACUUGGUUUUAAAAUUCUUGUAAAUCCAAAACACAUCUGAAAAUCACGAAACUUGGCAUGGAUGUCAUGUCAUGCACUAAAAAAAAGACACAUCCGUGACAUUUUGGGCCGAACGAAUUUUUUUCCUGUCAUACAUAUGACACUUCUAUGACGAUAAUUGUGACAAAACCCGGUAUCAUCAUAGAUGUGGUGGGCUCCUACUUCUAUGACAAAAAAUCAUGACAUAAAAUGGGCUUUUCGUCCUGGGCGGGCCGGAGACGCAGCUGGAUGACAUUCUUUGGGCCAUCCAUGACGGAAAAAACCGUGGUAGAAGCGAGGGGGAGGAAAAUUUCGGGGAGUUGCCGGUUACGGUGGGAGGUCGGGGGACGAGCGAUGCACGUUUCUCUCGUACACAUACGCGCGUGUGUGCGAGGCGUUGGCUCUAACUGAACCCGAGCAAGGCGUUGGGCUCUAACUGAACCCGAGCGAUUGCACUGCAGGCUACGCGUUACUGAACCCGAGCGAUCAAUUGAUGGCUGUUAACUGAACCCGAUGGAGCGAUUCCUUCGCUACUNNNNNNNNNNNNNNNNNNNNNNNNNNNNNNNNNNNNNNNNNNNNNNNNNNNNNNNNNNNNNNNNNNNNNNNNNNNNNNNNNNNNNNNNNNNNNNNNNNNNNNNNNNNNNNNNNNNNNNNNNNNNNNNNNNNNNNNNNNNNNCUGAAGCCGAUCGAUUGGAUGAACAAUGAGCGUUGCGGGGGGGUGGGUGGAUGAAUAGUGAGCGGUGGCGUUGCCUCUGGAUGAACAGGACCCCGUGGUGUGGAGGGCUGGAUGAACAGUAGACGGUGGAGGGGUGGCUGUGGAGGGGUGGUUGAACAGGACCCCGUGGUGUGGAGGGCUGGAUGAACAGUAGACGGUGGAGGGGUGGCCGUGGAGGGGUGGUUGAACAGGACCCCGUGGUGUGGAGGGCUGGAUGAACAGUUGACGGCGGAGGGGUGGUUGAACAGUAGCCGGUGGAGUAGCGCGCGGUGGAGGCUGGAUGAACAGGAGCACGUGGAGGNNNNNNNNNNNNNNNNNNNNNNNNNNNNNNNNNNNNNNNNNNNNNNNNNNNNNNNNNNNNNNNNNNNNNNNNNNNNNNNNNNNNNNNNNNNNNNNNNNNNNNNNNNNNNNNNNNNNNNNNNNNNNNNNNNNNNNNNNNNNNNNNNNNNNNNNNNNNNNNNNNNNNNNNNNNNACCCCUCCCGAUCAACAGGACCCUCGUUUCGACCGUAGGAGGUCCGUUUCCUCCGUUUUGCGGUAGGCCACACCCCUCUCAAUCAACAAGACCCCCGUUUCGACCGUAGGAGGUCCAUUUCCUCUGUUUUGCGGUACGCCACACCCCUCCCGAUCAACAGGACCCCGUUCCGAACGUAGGAGGUCCGUUUCCUCCGUUGUGCGCUACGUCAGGCCUCGUUUCCAUUGCUUGUUCCGUCCAAGCCCUCCCGAUGAACACGGCCACGCAUUCGUUUCCAUCGGUUGGAUCCCCAUGAACACGACGAUGAUGCUGUUUCUCCGUUCUGACCCAGCCAUGUACGUAUGCGUGAGUAGGCGUUCGAGACCCUGCCCGUAUGUACAUACGUGGCCGUAUUUUCUUUCUUGCACCCUCGCCGCUGUACGUACGUGUACAUGCUACGCGCACGCCUCUACUACGACAUGUGCGCGCCUCUACUACGACACGUGCGUGCCUCUACAAUGACCAGUAUGUACGUACACGUUCGCGACUAGAAUGACAAUGCUACGUACGCUUCGACCAGGUGGGUCCCGACUGUCAGGCACUUCCUUGCCUACGAAGAUGUAGCUGGUGGGUCCCAGCAGUCAGGGGGGCAAAUCGUUUUGUUUUUUUGCCCGGACGCACUUCCUUACAUGCGAAGAUGUAGCUGGUGGGUCCCANNNNNNNNNNNNNNNNNNNNNNNNNNNNNNNNNNNNNNNNNNNNNNNNNNNNNNNNNNNNNNNNNNNNNNNNNNNNNNNNNNNNNNNNNNNNNNNNNNNNNNNNNNNNNNNNNNNNNNNNNNNNNNNNNNNNNNNNNNNNNNNNNNNNNNNNNNNCAGCAGUCAGGGGGGCGAAUCGUUUUUUGCCCGGAUGCACUUCCUUGCGUGCGACGAUGUAGCUGGUGGGUCCCAGCAGUCAGGGGGGCGAAUCGUCUUGUUUUUUUUGCCCGGACGCACUUCCUUGCGUGUGAAGGUGUAGCUGGUGGGUCCCAGCAGUCAGGGGGGAAACGUUUUUUUCGCGAAAUAUGGUGGACCGUCCGGUGGGUCCCCGCUGUCAGGUGGAGGAAUAAUUAUUUUGCGCGUAAUAAGGAGGCACUUCCUUGCGGCCGCCGUGGACCCAGCUGUGAGCCUCUCCACGCAUAGUACUCUUCUGAUGGAAGUCGGUCAUUGACCACAUUGACCACGCCGCGCAGAGAGCACCACGACGGUGGACGACGGUGAGGCCUAGGAAGGGGACAACGCGGAGCCGGGGAAGACGCAACAGUGGAUGCCCACGCGAAGAGGAGUACGAGGGUGAGACUGCCGUCGCCGCAAAAUAACAGGGGGUGUGGGUGAGUAGAGGGAUGGCCUGGCCAGCGGUGGGAGUAGUAGGGGGCGGUGAGGCCUCCGCGGCAUCACAGUCGGCCACAGGAGGCGGGAGCACGCGACACGACCGGCGCUGCUUUGGGCGGCUGGAGCACGAAGACCAGAGGUUGAAGAAGCAGUACGGCCGUUGGAUGGACAUCGUACGGUCACUGGAGCUAGAGUCGUUCAUAUUGACUAAGUUGACAAAGCCCUCCGUCCCCAUAAACUUAGUAGGCCCACAAGUCAGCCUCCCACGAAGGUGAGUCCCAGCUAGUAGGGGGAGUAUUCAUUUUUUUGUGCGUAAUAAGGAGGCAUUUCCGGUGGGUCCGAGCUGACAGCGGGGGGAACGCUUUUUUCAUGAAAUAUAGAGACCCUUGCGGUGGGUCCCAGCUAUCAGGUGGAGGAAUCAUUAUUUUGCGCGUAAUAAGGAGGCAUUUUCCUGUGUGGGCCCCUACCGUCAGCCUCUUCCGAUGGCUGUUGUUUGCUGACCAUGUUGACCUCGCCGCGCUGAGAGCACAAAUGUGGUGGACAAGGGCGGGCCCAGGAAGAGAACCACUCGGAGCCGGUAAAGCCACCGCAGCGGAUGCCCACGCUGAGGGGAGAACGAGCGCUGACUGGUCGGCUGCGGGGUGAGGCUGACGUCGCCGGGAAAUAACAGGAUGUGUGGGUGGUUAGCGGGAUGGCCUGGCGACAGCACAACCAACCACGGGAGGAGGGAGCAGGCAGUCCCGUCGGCGCUCAUUUGGGCGGCUAGAGCAGGAAGAUCAGAGAUUGAAGAAGCACGGCGGCCGUUGUAUGGACAUCCAAUAGUCACUGUUGUGUGUUGACUAAGUUGACAAAGCCUUGCGUACGCGUCAAAAAAAAAUUAGGACAGCGUCAUCGUCAACCUAGUAGGCCCAGAAGUCAGCCUCCAAAUCUGUGGAAAACAGCAUACAACCCAUUAGCCAUUAUUUUCAAUAAUUUACAGCCCAUUUGCUAAUUCUUAAGGAUAUUUGAAGCCCAUAUUCUUUUUAUUAGCAUUACAGACCAUAUAUUCUGGGCACUGCUAAAAAAUUCAACGAAAUUUUGCAUAUUUCGGUGGGGUCCGAACUCUUUUAAUCAUGAAAUUUCGAGUCACGCUAAAAAUAGUUUUCAACAAAAUAUAUCAAAAUAAAGUUCAAAAAACAAUUCUCCGCAAAAAAAAGAAUGAAAUUUAGAAUCUUAACUAGCAAGAUGCCCGUUCGUUGCACGGAACAUGAAGAUGCAUUUGUAUGAGUAGUUUAUCUUGUGGGUGAAAAGAUGAUAUUUUAAUGUAAUUGCCAGUUGGCUUUGGUUUUUAUAAGAGUAGAGAGUAGAGAAAUCCUAAAAAAUGAUAUUUUAAUGCAAUUGCCGGUUGGCUUUGGUUUAAAAAUUUAUAGCCCAUUUCUUACAACUUAUAGCCCAUUUUCUAGGGAAGCCCAUUUCUUAUCCCUCCUCGUCUUGAAGGAUUUGCAGCCCAGCAGGGCUGAGAAAAGCAAGUCGGCCUCGGUUUUGGUAUUCUCCAAAAAAAAGAACUGGGCUAGCCAAUUUUAGAAAGAAAAAAAUAUCAACUGGGCUCGUCAUGUGCUUAAUAAAAGCGUAAGCGUGGGCUAGACGGGCCACAGCCCCCGCACAACGCGUAGUUGAGCUCCGUCUCUGAAACUGAAAAACAACUGGGCGAGCUACUAGGUCCCUGGUGUUAUCCACUCAUUGUGUAAUUUUCUCAUUUAUUGACUACAUUGACAAUGGCGUGGAACCUAGUUGUCAAACAAUUAGGAGGAAGUAUUGUUUUGGCUUGUAAUAACGAGGCACCUGCUUGCGAAAUGCAAUGACCCUGGUGGGUCCCUACUGUCAGCCUCUCCACGUACAGUCAUCUCCUAAUUCCUCUUGGUUGUUGACCAUGUUGACAACACCAGACGGCGGCGAGCACAGCGAGCUAACCAAGGCGGAGAAUGAUGGCAAGGCCUCGGACGGGAACGAACAGCACCCAUGGAAGAUGCGGCAGUGUAGUGGCAGGUGGAGGGGAGUACGAGGGCAACAACAUGCAAGUCAAGCAUACAAAUGGCACAAAAAGCCCAAGGAUUAAUUGUUCAUCAAAUUUUUAUACAAAACCUAGAUUGAACAUGACAGUAACAUCUAACCCAACCACUCUUUUUUGCAGUCACAAACAAAUGGAUCGGUCUGAUCCAUAAAAUGAACAUCCUGUGCAAAAAAAAUUAUUUUAGGAUGUCUACAACUUGUUGUAAAUAGAAGCCGAGCACGUUUAGAAGCCCAUUUGUCCACCUGAAACUUCUUUUUUUGCUGUUCAACAUGUUCGUCCAUGAGAAAUCUCUUGCUAUAAAAAUUAAGCCUCAUGGACAAUAGUAACCUCGCAUUCAACAGGAAGAAUGUGACAAAGCUUUUGUUUGCCUGGUUGGAUGCAUAUCGUCCCAUCGUUAUUGUCCUCAAACGAAUGUCAUGAGAACUAAGAAAAUCCUUGUGCUUAUUACGCCAACGAUUGGUUAUAUGUUUUUCUCCAUGUGGUUCUGCCUAAGUAGACAUGAAGAUUGAAAACAGUUAAGGUCUGAGAAAAGAGUAUGUCAAAAGAACGACAGCUGAACAGUUAAUUCUAGUACAAUAUAUACGGGCUUUCAAUGUGCAUGAAAUCAUCACCUCUAUGUAUAAACUCUCCAGAGAUUGAAAGCAUCGCAGCAAGCCAAUAAUUAUGUCCAGAUCAAAACUAUACAUUCUGAUAUAUAUGAUCUUGACAGAAUCCAGCAGCAUUGCUAGACUAUCAAUGGACGAACUCUUCAUUGAGCAUAUAACAUAAUAUUAGUACCCAAAGUGUACUCCAAGAUGAUAUAAAACUUAUGCGCACAAAUAAAAAAUGCAGCAUAUGAUUACAAAUGUGUAGAUAUAAUAUACGGUACCUGGAAAGGUGAGGAGCCAGACACCAACUCCUUGUGAUUAUUAAACGGGUCACGAAUUACACCCAAGGUCUCCAGUUUGGGCACAGAGACGACAGUUAUUUCUGAAGGUAUAUAACAAUUAUGAAGGAGCAACCUUUCAAGUGAAGGGACAUCUUCGAUGAUGAGCUGUUGUCCUUCAAAACAAAUUCCAAUGCUUUUAAGGUGAGGCGACUUUAUUUGGAGACAACUACUACCGAUUUGUAUUCCCAAAACAAUCAGCAAGCGCUCCAGGCAGGGCAAAUGGAGUGGAUGAUGCUGUGCAGUGAGGCCUCCGACAGAUACACCACCACAAGCGAGAGUUUUUUUAGCAGUGGGAGUCGAAGCAUUUGUACCAGAUCGUCUGGUAGAUGGCACCGGGCAAAGAUGGUGGUGUGGAGAGAGGAGGAAAACCGCGAGAUGGACAACGGGGGUGUGGGCACGAAUUCUUGGUAUGUUCGUGGUAUGAAACUUUCGUGGUAAUGGUAGAACUCAAACUGCUGGAGUUUUCCAAAUUCAGGGGAUGUCAGCCAAGCGUCCACCUUGCUGGCUGUGGACAGCAGGUAGCUUGUCGGGAUGCAGAGGCAUUGAAUGGGGCCCUUCUAGUGAGAAGAGACGAUGGCUCUGAUGAGAUCAAAUUCAGGAAGGACAGAUAUCUGACGACAAUCGAGAUUGAGGGGUGUGGUGCGCCAUAGAGGGCGCCACCGAGUUGAGAGGACUUGUGUGCGGCAGCAAUCCUUGGUGGGGAGAAGCGAGAUGAUCUCCUCAAGGAUGACGUGCGGGAGAUCGCUGAUGCGGUCCAUCGGAGAUUCUACCGGUUCCUCAUAUCCGGGUGGGGGGGGGGCUCGCCGCUUCUCCCCGCGCUACCGGGUGCGGGAUCUACAACCGGCGUCGCCGCUGGCGGGAGCCUCAUCUUCUUGGCGCUGGGGCCAGCCGACUCCAUUUUCCUUGUGGGCGUCGCGUCGAGCUCACGGGUUUGAGCAGAGUAGCCAGAGACGAGCCUGGUGGCAGUGCGAGUGGGGAAGAAGGAGGGCUGGGGAUUUCUGUAGGAGUGGAAGAAGAGGAGCAGGCGUUUUCUGUACGAGUGAGGAAGAAGGUGAGCGGGGUUUUCUGGACGAGUGAGGAAGAUUGGGGAGCGGGGGAAUUGGGUGGGGAGACGGAAGCGGGAGAGCGAGCUUUCGUGUUUAUAAGGCCCGCUACACUAACUACUCGCUUUUUCCCAAGAACCGCUCUCUUCUUUUGUGUUGCUGCAUGAUUGGCCAUGCAUGCUGGAUGCAUGUGCCCGCCGGCCACUACAUGCGCCUGGUUUGUUACUAGGCCUAUUUAAUAGGGUGGUUAUGGAAUAAAUUAAGGAGAUUUAUUUUCUCUGUGUGCAUCCACCAAAUUAGAGGAUGCGGUACUGGAUGCAGACACUCACAUUAAACUAACAUUUAGAAGAACAAAAGUUCAGCAUGUCUAUGCAUCUCAAUGAUUCACCAUACUAUAACCAAUAUACAAAACUGUGAGAAGGUGUGGAAAUAAAGAAAAUCGGUCGAUGCUUCUCUGAGCAAAGGGCCUCCCUGCGCACACAUUAAUUUCCUAGGCAUGCUUGUUUCUUCUCAAUGUUGCGAGCACUUUGAGCAUGUUGGCAACUCCACGGCUAGCUAGCUGCCUCAUCUUGCAAUUGAUGCUGACACAUUUGCAGCAAACACAUGAGGCAAUAGAGAUGACUCAACAUGGGUCCAUAUUGUGCAGUUCCCCUGAUAUCAUAUUCAUUGUCCCGAAUCUGAAAAGAUAGGAAAACAGUAGCUAUACUAAAAUGGUGUUGCAAAAUAGUAGCACAUAUCAAUAGCUCGGCAUGAGAAAACACGAUCAUCUGGACGAAGGGGAUACUGACCUGCCUGGGGAAGAUUACAUAUAAUUUCAUAAGUCCUUGGAUGAUUUCCACCUUCGGCUGCACUGCUUGUUUGCUCCUCCACACAUGACAGGAUCGUUCCGCACUGCAUUCAGCAAGUCAACGUACGAAUAAGCUAAUCUCAUCUUGCGGUGGUCAUUGUACCUAGUUACGAAUGUAGGAAUACCUGGAGCACCAUGAGGUUAGCUGACAGCAGGUAGAUGCAGCCAUAUAAAUUUUGUGCGGUGCUACCAAAAUUGAGGUUUGUAUCCCUUCCCGUUAUGAGAAUUCUUCUUGAAGUUGGUAGAAUGUGACGGGUUGUUCUUUACAUCAAACUUGCCUUUCCCCUGAGAUUUGUUCUUAUUGUUUUGGGGCUGGUUGGGCUGGAAGUUCUUCUCGUGUACCAUGUGGGCACUAGAAGCUCCCUCGGCGACCCGAGCACGUGUGUCUUUUGCUCCCGCCUUCUCCUCAAAAUCAAGAGUGCUAAUGAGAUCCAAAACAGAAAACUCAUGUCUCUUGUUUUUUAGAGAAGUAGCAAAAUCGUUCCAUGAAGGUGGAAGCUUGGCAAUGAUGGUCCCAACAACAAAUUUGUCCGGCAACACACACUUAAAGUACUCAAGUUCCUUAGAGAGUGACUAUAUCUCAUGAGUCUGCUGAACAACAGAGCGCUCAUCAGUCAUCUUAUAGUCACAGAAUUGCUCCAUGACGUACAACUCGUUGCUAGUGCCCGAGGGCCCAAACGUGGCCUUGAGUGCAGCCCACAUGUCUUUGCCACUGUCAAACAACAUAUACGAAUCCACAAUGGAAUCAUCAAGAACACUCAGUAGGGCGGCUUUGAAGAGGGUAUCCAUGUUCUGAAAAGCUUCCUGCUGUGUAGGAUUAAGAUCGCCCUCAGGCUUACCCUUAGUGGCGUCAUAGCAGUACAUGAUCUGAACCAAUAUAGUGCUCUUGUGCGCCACCUUUUAUAUUGCACCCCCUUAAAAGUAGGCGGCUUCAAAAGCGCAGCAAAACCACUCGGAGUAAAUUGCCUGUGAUCAGCUUUUUGGAUUGAAUCGUUGAAUAUAUGAGCAAUUUAGUAUGAGAUUUAAUCCGAAUCAGCAAUAAAUAGAUCAUGACGACAAUUGCAAACAUCAAAGUAAUGAUGCGGACUAAGCCAGGAGGACAGAAUCACAUACUAUACAGCGGGAGCAGAACCGAUGUGGUUGAUGUUGUCACUCAUGUCGUUGAUGAAGAGGUUACCGAGGUCGGGGAAGAAGGUUGUCGUUGAGGAAGUCGUCGCUAGCAGCAGUCACAUGAGUGUGCUCCCCAAAACCUGAUCGCCCCUCUCCCGUACAAGAUCACGAAAGGCGGGGUUCGGAGGACUGCUGUCCCUUCUCGCGGUGCACGCCGGAAGGAGGGCUGGAGAAGAAUUGUGUGGCGGCACUAAGAUCUGGAAGGUGCGAAACCAUAUGAUACAGCGGCGGCUAGGGUAGAGCAUGUCAGGUCGGAGUAUAAUAGUAGGCCUUUGGCCCCCAAACCCCAAGUCCAAGUCAAUAAUAGCUCAAAAAAAGUCAAUAAUAGCCCCACCAAGGUUUGUCUCAAAAAAAACCCGGAGUAAUUAAGGCAUCCGUUAGUCCCUUUAGUAUAAAUACAAUAUCAUUAAUAAUGGCCCCACCUUUUGUCUCACAAAGUAGAGUAUGUUGGAGUACAACCGGCUACACGUUUACAAUCCGCUUCUCUUCUCUCUCCUCUUCUCUCUCCUUCAACUAAGCACAAAUACUAUAUUUAAAUCCUUAUAGCCUGCUUAUGUAUCUAAUUAUAGUACUUGCUCUAAAAUUUAUUAUACACUGUGUAGUCUGAAAUGCCGGGUGUGCAGCGGGCGGUGCCCUCGAUCGGUGCACCGCUUCAAUGGCGGAAGCAGUGAGAGGUCGCGUCGCCCUGACUUGCCAUCAAUGUGGAGCGGCGGGCUCAGCUGGCGCCGGGCGGGAAGCGCGCGCGGGAGGGGGGAGGGUUUUUUGUUGGGCCAAGAAGGUGAGAAGCCAACUUGGGAUCGGUCCGGACGGGGAAAUAUCAUGUGCUCCCAUACUCUGCAUAUGACACUAGUCUAUGUUACUACUCCCUCCUUCCGGUUUAUAGAGAUGUUUAGAGUAACAUAGUAAUAUGUUACAGUACAAGUUACUCCCCACUAUGACCAGCCUUGGCCUCUCCCAGUGCUCCACCAUGUAUAGCUGCUAAGCCUACCACGUAGGCAUAAAAUAUGAUGUGGCACCAAUAAACUAAGCACCUAUGCAUUGAACACUUGAGUUACUAAGCCAUUUAAUGCACUUAGCACCUCAUCUAAAGAGCAUUAAUAGUAUAGCCAGCUGCUGGCUAUAAGCCUACAGCCCAUCUUAUAGUCAACAUGUACAAAGUGCCUAGGAGCACGUGCUAGAGCUGGCUCUUCAUGAAGAGCCCGCUUACCUUCUCUCUCCUCUUCUCUUUCCUCCAACUAAGCAGAAAUAUACUACUAUUUAUUCCUUAUAGCCCGCUGACUCAGCUCUAUUGUACUUUCUCUAAGCACAUGUAAGCACUUGCUAGCACCCCCUUGACCGUGGACCUUGACGGUGUACAUCACCUUGUGUCUCAUAAUUUUCCUCGUCAUCAUCUGAGUCCUAGAAGAUCUCACCCACAUCAUCAUUAGCAUGCAACCACCUUGAUAGACAACAUGCGCAAAAAGAGUAGAGGUGACUGGGGACGCACCACCACCACGUCGUGGGCACUCCGUAUGUGCUCAUGUGCGUGCAGCGUGCGUGUUUUUCCAUCGGUGCUAGCUCUAAGGCCGAGGCUGCAGUCGUCUUCGUCUCCGACUAGUUGUUAAGCAACGGCGGCAAAGAGGUGUUGCAAGAGAUGCGUAUGCGCUGUUGCGUGCGAGCUUCGCCGUAGCACGAUGAACCGGACGUCGCCGCGGAUGGCGCACGCCUCCAUGCAGUCGAGUGUGUGCGCAUGCAUGUGUUAUUCACGUGCAUUCUGCGGCCGAGCAUGUGUGCAUGCACGUCUUCUGUACGUGCAUUGUGUGCUCCAUGCUGUGCGCGUAUGUGCAUGAGUUGGAUCGGAUGGAGUUAGUGCGUUGGCUUGUGUACAUAUUUUCGAGUGUAGAUUCACUCAUUUUGUUUCGUAUGUAGUCCCUUAUUGAAAUAUCUAAAAAUACUUAUAUUUGGGAACGGAGGGAGUAUAAAACAUCUUCAACUUAGCAUCCUGAUGUACCGUUUCUAGAGGUUAGCGAAAAGUUCAUGUUCUUUUAGUUGUUUAUAGGUGGGCAAGCGGCAAAAAACAGGGGAAAACGCGCAAGGUUCCUUGUAGACGCUCCACUGCGAGGUUCCUUGCUCCUCCUCGGUCGUCGGGAAUCUAUGCUCUUCAACUCUUUUCUUU
rnacentral:lncRNA from 1 species